CAAACCCUAACUGCUGCCCCGUUUUCUUCUCAAACAUAGCUAUCCGAAAAACCCUAACCCCUGCCUCCUCUUCCUCUUCCCGGAAACCUAAAUCCCGUGACCCUAACCCCUUCUCUUUCCGAAAACCCUCCGGAAUCGGAAGAUUCAUAAUUCUUCAGAAUUAAUUUUCACCUCGAAGCCAAACCCUAACUGCCUCAUCUUCCUCUCAUUCAUAUCCCAAAAGUAGCUUCAACAGUCAGGCCAGUAGCCAUGAAAGCCGUAGUGAUCGCCACUUCCGGUGAUCCCCAAGUUCUCCAGGUGCAAGAAGUCGGAAACCCUGAAAUUGGAGAUGUUGAAGUUCUAAUUAGAGUGGACGCCGCUGCCAUUAAUCGAGCAGAUACGCUUCAGAGGAAGGGCUUGCACCCUCCCUCAAAGGCGGCAGUCCCUACCCCGGUCUCGAAUGUUCUGGAAUCAUCGAAGCUGUUGGAAAGGUCGUCGUUAGAUGGAAGGUUGGCGAUCAGGUAUUUCAAUUGCCUAAUAUUUUGAUUCCGUUUCUGUUCCUGUAUUUUUCUCGGCUGUCAAACACUAGUAACGUGUAAAUAAGGAGGUUAGUUGAUUGCGAAAACGGGAAUUUUUUGUUCGUGUUUGUGUUAAGGAGUCUUUGUUGAGAAUUUUGGGGAAAUUUAUGAUAAGUUUGUGAUUUUAUGAUUAAUUUUGUGUAUCAAUAUAGGUUAAAUUAUUGAGCUUAUUGGUUUUUCAAAUUUAUGGUUGUAAGAAAAUUGGUCAGUGUAAGGUUAUGGGGUCAUUACCAAUUUGCUUACUGAAAAUUUUUCCAGAUAUUGUGGAACAGUUUGAUAGCAGAAAUAAGAACUGUGUUUUCUUUUCCAAAACAGAAAUGGAUGCAGAAAACUUGCUUGGUAGCCUACUUUCAGAACCUGUUUCCGAAAAUAUUUCCUGAAAAUGAAUUAUUUCAGAACUUGUUUUUAAAAAAUGCAAACACUUUAUCAAUUUAAAAGGUUCUGAAAUGGACAUGUUCAUGGUCCUCAUUUUUUAAAAUUAAAGCUUUUAUGAAAAAACCAUUUUCCCUUCUACUAAACAAACAGGCUCUAUAUUGUAACGGAUCAAUUGGCCAUUUCCUUUGUCAUGUUUUGUGAAUCAUGGCAACACUGGAAUCCACUCCAUUACCAUCUGUUAGUGAUUAGGAGAGCAAACACUGAUUUUAAUGCUAUCCUUUAUGCGAUUUUGCUUCCUCCUGAGUACAAGUUCAUAUACAUGGUACAUGGUGAAUCUGUAUGACAGUUCAUGGUAUACAGGUGUGUGCUCUUCUUUCUGGUGGAGGGCAUGCUGAAAAAGUGGCUGUUCCAGCUGGGCAAGUUCUUCCUGUCCCAUCUGGUGUUUCUCUGAAGGAUGCUGCUGGAAUUCCUGAGGUUGCAUGUACUGUUUGGUCAACUGUUUUAAUGAUGAGCCGACUGUCUGCAGGAGAAACAUUCCUGGUGAAUUUUUUGUCUUUUUUAUUUUCUGAUGCCUGAUAUAUUUACCAGCACAAAUUUACCCUGUUGCUGUUUAAUGUGUGUGCAUCAAUUUUGGAUUAGGGAGGUAGAAGAGCCAUGGUUCUAAUUAAAACAUUACAUCAUCAUAUUCUUAUUUAGAUACAUUGUAUCCCACAAUUUCAUUGCAUCCAAGGCUAUGUUGUUUUUUAUUGCACGGUUUGUGUCAUGGUAAUUUCUCAACCCUUCUCUGGAAAAUUAUGUUGGAUGGCUACUAUUAAUUACCCCAAAAGAAGAAAUUUUAUGUUGAAGUAAGAUGAGUAGCACAAAGAGUUACUUGUGGUUGAUCCUAUCAUCAAAUGGGCGAUUGAUGCACAAUCCAAAUGGUAAAUUUUUUCCCCCUUUAUCCAGAUGGAAUUUUUAUGCAUGGUUGAAUAGUGAAAUGAGGACUGAUAAUAUUUCAGGUUCAUGGGGGUUCAAUUGGAAUUGGUACCAUCUAUUCAAAUAGUGAAAUACUGAGGAGCAAGGGUAUUUGUUACAGCAGGUUUGCCAUCACUGUUCUACCUCAUCUCACAGAAUGCUUAUCUCAUGGCACCAAUUCCUUUUCUUCACAUGUUUUCAACCAUUUUUUCCACCCAGGAACGAGGAAAAAUUAGCUGUUUGUAAGGAUCAUUGAGCAGAUGUGUGCAUCAAUUACAAGACUGAAAACUUUGUUGCAUGGGUGAAGGAGGAAACAGGAGGGAAAGGUAUAUUCUAUUGUAUCUUAACGAUAAUUUCAAUUGAAGGUGGAAUUGAUUUUUAUUUUUUAGUGCACCAAAUCCACUAGUCUGGAAUGUUUGAAAAGAUAAAUAGUCAUCUUCCACUUGAUUCCGAUUGUGAAGAUCUAACCCCAAAAAUGUUGAAUGACAGGUGUUGAUGUUAUACUGGAUAAUAUUGGAGGGGCCUACUUUUGGGGAGACAUCAAUGGUUUAAAUGUUGAUGGAAGGCUUUUUAUUAUUGGUUUUCAGGGUGGAACAGUGGUACAAGUAAAUCUUUCAGGUUUACUUGCAAGGCGCCUUACAGUGCAAGGUACCGCUUUCUCUGUAGAAGAUUUUUCUGUAGUUUUGGAGUUGAAUCAAUUUGAUUAAUCUCAUCCAAGUUCAGAACUGAGGUGGAUUCUGGCAAGCCAAGGAAAAACCAAAUUACCAUAAAUUCUUUUUUUUUCUGGAUCGUUUUACUUCUUGGAAAUCCUGUUUCUCGAUCUGGUCAGGUAUAUGGAAAUUCCAAGGAAAAUAUGUUUUACAUUUUCCAUAAUUGGAAACACUCAGGAAUUUAAUAUUUUCCUCUGAAAUAGCAAUGGUUUUCUAAUUACGACAUUUGUUUUUUCUUGNNNNNNNNNNNNNNNNNNNNNNNNNNNNNNNNNNNNNNNNNNNNNNNNNNNNNNNNNNNNNNNNNNNNNNNNNNNNNNNNNNNNNNNNNNNNNNNNNNNNCUAGAUUGUCAAUGCUUAGUUUCUUAUGUAGCCCUGUCAUUUGAGAAUAAAAACCAGCCUUCCCGUCCUAACAUUUAGACUACUGGAAUCUAAAGCUUCAAGAUAGUUGAAACUGAAUUUUCAAGUGCAAACACUCUCCAACCUCCACAAAUGAGCUUACCUUCCUCAUCUGAAGUUUGAACAAAAAUGUAUCAAAUGGUUAGGUAGAACUGUCUAAGAAACCAGAGCUUGGCUGGUUGAUCACCUUAUUUACAGAGCUUGGAUGUGAGAGAAACCAGCGCCCCUAAAGCUCAGGACAAGAUUACCAUUCCACCAAAGUUGAGCCUUGCAUGCAGUCACCUAGUAUUUUCUUUAUUGGAGUCUUCCCCUCUACCCUGGCACUGGGAUUGAAGGCGAAUGAAAAACGUGCAUAGAUUGAAGGUGUGCUGCUUGAGUUGAUUGUAGUUUGAGCAUAAAAAUUUGAAGAUCCAGAACAGCAAAUGAGGAAUGCCUAUCAAUUUGAAACCAGCAUGGGUGGAUGAAUGGAGAGGUUCUUCACUGAAUUUGUCCAUGAAGCUUUUUAGCACUCUAGGGCAAGGGUCUCCAAGCCUAGCUGUUGAUUGCACAUCCCUCCUGCGCAGUAUAGGCCUGUAGUGAAAUUAUACUAAGAACAGAGUGAAAUGCGAAUGCAGGAAAGAUGAGAGUGUAAGUUGCUAGUUUCAAAUGCAGGAAAGGGUGUUUCUUAGCUGUUCAACAACUGACAAUACAUUGGCAUGACAAUUCCCUGGAUCGAAUGUGCCACAAUGCCCUCUUGGAGUUCCAAAGCUUGUUCAUAGGUCAAUUGAACUUGAGGGUUUUGGGACAUGAACUCCAAGUUUGGUUGCCAAGAAUCUCCAGGUGGAGGAUCAGCUUCUGACACGUGUGCACACACCUCUUAUUGCAAUUUUUAAUAAAUUGCAAAAAAAAUUAUUGCAAUUUUUAUGGUUCAUAUAUUCAUUUUAAGGUUAUUCCCCACCUUAAAAUGGAUAUUGGAACCCAAGGUGCAUCCUAAAGACAAUUUGGUGCAUCAUUUAUAAAAUUUGGUACAUAUUUCAUAAAAUUUGGCACAUCCUUAAAACAAUUUUGUACAUCCAAUCCAUGAGCUACCAGGACCUCUAUAUUAUAACCCAUGGUUUGUUUAUUUCUUUAGGGAUCUUUAGGAAGUAAUCAAAGGUCAUUCCCUACUCAGAAACGAACUUUGGAACCCUAAGUACAUCCUUAAGGAAAUUUGGUACAUCGUUAAGAAAUUUUGGUACAUCAAAUCCUCCGGCUAUCGAGACCCUAUCUAUCUUCCUAUGGUCCAUAUUAUUCUUUAAGGACCCUUAGGUAGUGAUUGAAGGCCAUUCCCCAUAUUAGAACGAACUUUGACACUCUUGGUACAUCCUUUACAAAAUUUGGUACAUCCUUAAAAAUAUUUGGUACAUACUUGAGCUAUUGAAACCUUUAUCUUAUUACCCAUGAUCCAUUUAUUCCUUUAAGGAUCUUUGGGAAGUGAUUAGAGAUCGUUCCCUACUCCGAAAUGGACUUUAGAACACUUAUAUCCAUUUCCAUAGUCCAUUUCUUCCUUUGGAGACCCUCAGGAAGUUAUUGAAGGUUGUUCCCCACCGCAUAACGGACUUUGGCAACAUUAGUACAUCAUUUACAAAAUCUGGUACAUUAUUUACAAAAUUUGGUACAUCCUUUACAAAAGUUGGUACAUCCUUUACAAAAUUUGGUACAUCCUUCACAAAAUUUGGUACAUCCUUCAUAAUGUACCAAAUUUUGUGAAUGAUGUACCAAGGGUUCCAAAGUGCAUUUCAAGGUAGGGAUCAGCCCCCAAUCACUUCCUUAUGGGUUCCAAAAUGAAAUCAUGUGUUAUCCAUAUUCAGAUGGGGGUCCCGAAAGCGAUAGGAUUAGAUGUACCAAAUUUAAUAAAGGAUGUACUAAAUUUUGGGAAGGAUGUACCAAGGGUUCCAAAGUGCGUUCCGAGGUGGGGAUCGGCCCCCAAUCACUUUCUUAUGGGUUUUUAAAUGAAAUUAUGGAUCAUCCAUGUUUAGAUGAGGGUCCCGGAAGUGAUAGGAUCGGAUGUACCAAAUUUAAUGAAGGAUGUACCAAAUUUUGUGAAUGAUAUACCAAGGGUUCCAAAGUGCGUUUUAAGGUGGGAUCGACCCCCAAUCAUUUCCUUAUGGGUUUCUAAAUGAAAUUAUGGACCAUCCAUGUUCAGAUGGGGGUCUUGGAAGUGAUAGGAUCGGAUGUACCAAAUUUAAUGAAUGAUGUACCAAAUUUUGUGAAGGAUGUACCAAGGGUUCCAAAGUGCGUUUUAAGGUGGGGAUCGACCCCCAAUCAUUUCCUUAUGGGUUUUUAAAUGAAAUUAUGGAUCAUUCAUGUUCAGAUGGGGGUCUCGGAAGUGAUAGGAUUGGAUGUACCAAAUUUAAUGAAGGAUGUACCAAAUUUUGUGAAGGAUGUGUCAAGGUUGUGCUCUUUACUAGUGCACAUAGCCUACCAAUAUAAUGGUUUUAGCAAUAGGCAUGCCUCUAAAAUCAAGGGUGUGCCCCUAGUUUGCAUACUGCAUAUAGUAUACCAAAAUAAUAUUAUCAUACCCAUGGGCAUGCCUAUGCAACGAAGGGUGCACCCUUACUUUGCCUUUUGCAUGUAGCAUAGUAAUAUGAUGUCAUUCAACCAUAGGCAUACCUUUGAAAUGGAAGGUGCGCCCCUAGAUUUCCUUCUGCACAUAACAUACCAAACUAAUGUUAUUGUAUAAAAAAAAUUCCAUUUAUUCUAAGGAUAAGGUGUAAAUGUUAUAAUGCUUUCCCAAUGUGUUAAUGGGUCAACCUCCCUUUUACCGACUCCUCACAUAACACGAAGCCAAUCCCUACCUUAAGGAUUUGAUACAUCCUUCACAAAAUUUGGUACAUCCUUUAUUAAAUUUAGUACAUCCGAUCUUAUCACUUUCGGGACCCCCAUCUAAACAUGAAUGGUCCAUAAUUUCAUUUAGAAACCCAUAAGAAAGUGAUUGAGGGCCGAUCUCCACCUCGGAACGCACUUUGGAACCCUUGGUACAUCCGUCCCAAAAUUUGGUACAUCCUUAACAAAAUUUGGUACAUUCGAUCCUAUUGCUUAUGGGACCCCUAUCUGAACAUGGAUGGUCCAUGAUUUCAUUUGGAACCCAUAAGGAAGUGUUUGGGGGCCGAUCCCCACCUCGAAACACACUUUAGAACCCUUGGUACAUCAUUUACAAAAUUUGGUACAUCCUUCAUUAAAUUUGGUACAUUCUUCAUUAAAUUUGAUACAUCCGAUCUUAUCGCUUCCGAGACCCCCAUCUGAACAUGGAUGGUCCAUAUUUUCAUUUAGAAACCCAUAAGAAAGUGAUUGAGGGCCGAUCCCCACCUUAAAACGUACUUUCGAACCCUUGGUACAUUCUUCACAAAAUUUGGUACAUCCUUCAUUAAAUUUGGUACAUUCGAUCUUAUCAUUUCCGGGACUCCCAUCUAAACAUGGAUGGUCCAUAAUUUCAUUUAUAAACCUAUGAGAAAGUGACUGGGGGCCGAUCCCCACCUCGGAACGCACUUUGGAACCCUUGGUACAUCCUACACAAAAUUUGGUACAUCCUUAAUUAAAUUUGGUAUAUCCGAUCCUAUCGCUUCCGAGACCCCCAUCUGAACAUGGAUGGUCCAUAAUUUCAUUUAGAAACCCAUAAGAAAGUGAUUGGGGGCCGAUCCCCACCUUGGAACGCACUUUGGAACCCUUGGUACAUCCUUCCCAAAAUUUGGUACAUUCGUCAUUAAAUUUGAAACAUCCGAUCCUAUAACUUUCGGGACCCCCAUCUAAACAUGGAUGGUCCAUAAUUUCAUUUAGAAACCCAUAAGAAAGUGAUUGGGGGCCGAUCCCCACCUCGAAACACACUUUGGAACCCUUGGUACAUCCUUCAUUAAAUUUGGUAUAUCCUCAAAAUUUGGUACAUCCGAUCCUAUUCCUUAUGGGACCCCCAUUUGAACAUGGAUGAUCCAUGAUUUCAUUUUGGAAUCCAUAAGAAAGUGUUUGGGGGUCAAUCCCCACCUCGAAACGCACUUUGGAACCCUUGGUACACCCUUCACGAAAUUUGGUACAUUCUUCAUUAAAUUUGGUACAUUCUUCAUUAAAUUUUUGUACAUCCCAUCAUAUCACUUCCAGGAUCCCCAUCUGAACAUGAAUGGUCUAUAAUUUCAUUUAGGGUCGAUCCCCACCUUGGAACGCACUUUGGAACCCUUGGUACAUCCUUCACAAAAUUUGGUAUAUCUUUCAUUAAAUUUGGUACAUCCAAUCUUAUUGUUUCCAGGAUCCCCAUUUGAACAUGGAUGGUCCAUGAUUUCAUUUUGAAACCCAUAAAGAAGUGAUUGGGGGCCGAUCCCCACCUCGAAACGCACUUUUGAACCCUUGGUAUAUCCUUCACAAAAUUUGGUACAUCCUUAAUUAAAUUUGGUACAUCCGAACCUAUUGCUUUCAGGACCCUCAUCUAAACAUGGAUGGUUCAUGAUUUCAUUUUGAAACCCACAAGGAAGUGAUUGAGGGUCGAUCCCUAUUUUGGAACGCACUUUGGAACCCUUGGUACAUCAUUCACAAAAUUUGGUAUAUCUUUCAUUAAAUUUGGUACAUCCGAUCUUAUUGUUUCCGGGAUCCCCAUCUGAACAUGGAUGGUCCAUGAUUUCAUUUUGAAACCCAUAAGGAAGUGAUUGAGGGUCGAUCCCCACCUCGAAACGCACUUUUGAACCCUUGGUACAUCCUUCACAAAAUUUGGUACAUCCGAACCUAUUGCUUUCGGGACCCCCAUCUGAACAUGGAUGGUUCAUGAUUUCAUUUUGAAAUCCAUAAGGAAGUGAUUAAGGGUCGAUCCCCAUUUUGAAACGCACUUUGGAACCUUUGAUACAUCCUUCACAAAAUUUGGUACAUCCUUCAUUAAAUUUGGUACAUUCUUCAUUAAAUUUGGUACAUCUCAUCCUAUCGCUUCUAGGACCCUCAUCUGAACAUGGAUGAUCCAUAAUUUCAUUUAGAAACCCAUAAGAAAGUGAUCGGGGGCCGAUCCUCGCUUCGAAACGCACUUUGGAACGCUUGGUACACCCCUCUCAAAAUUUGGUAUAUCAUUCAUUAAAUUUGGUACAUCCGAUCCUAUUGUUUUCGGGUCCCCUAUCUAAACAUGGAUGAUACAUGAUUUCAUUUUGGAACCCAUAAGGAAGUGAUUGGGGGCCGAUCUCCACCUCAGAAUGCACUUUGGAACCCUUGGUACAUCCUUCACAAAAUUUGGUAUAUCCUUCAUAAUGUACCAAAUUUUGUGAAUGAAGUACCAAAUUUUAUCAAGGAUGUAUCAAAUUUUUUAAAGGAUAUACCAAAUUUUGUAAAGGAUGUACCAAUGUUGCCAAAGUCCGUUAUGAGAUGAGGAACGACCUUCAAUAACUUCCUGAGGGUCUCCAAAUGAAGAAAUGAACUAUGGAAAUGAAGAUAAGUGUUUCGUUAGCUCAAGGAUUGGAUGUAUCAAAUUUUCUCAAUGAUGUACCUAGGGUUCCAAAGUCCAUUUCGGAGUAGUGAACGAUCUCCAAUCACUUCCCAAAGAUCCCUAAAGGAAUAAUCGGACCAUGGGUAAUAAGAUAGAGGUUUCAAUAGCUCAAGUAUGUACCAAAUAUUUUUAAGGAUGUACCAAGAGUGCCAAAGUUCUUUCCGAUGUGAGGAAUGACCUUCGAUCACUACGUAAAGGUCCUCAAAGGAUAAUAUGGACCAUGGGAAGAUAGAUAGGGGUCUCGAUAGCCGGAGGAUUGGAUGUACCAAAAUUUCUUAACGAUGUACUAAAUUUCCUUAAGGAUGUACCUAGGGUUCCAAAGUUCGUUUCUGAGUAGGGAACGACUUUUAAUUACUUCAUAAAGAUCCCUAAAGAAAUAAACAAACCAUGGGUAAUAAUAUAGAGGUCCUGGUAGCUCAUGGAUUGGAUGUACAAAAUUGUUUUAAGGAUGUGCCAAAUUUUAUGAAAUAUGUACCAAAUUUUAUAAAUGAUGCACCAAAUUGUCUUUAGGAUGUACCUUAGGUUCCAAUAUCCAUUUUAAGGUGGGGAAUAACCUCUAAUUCCUUCUCAAGGGUCCCCAAAGGAAUAUAUGAACCAUGAAAAUGAAAAUAGGGGUCUUGGUUCCUCUAAGAAUGGAUAUACCUAGGAUCCCAAAGUUCUUUUUGGGGUAGGCAAAGACCUCCAAUUACUUAUCAAGGGUCCUAAAGGAAUAUAUACACCAUGAUAAGUAUGAUAGUGUCUUCGGUUCUCUUAAGCAUUAAUUUACCUAUUUUUUUUAAGAAUGUACCUAUUUUUUUAUUAAAUUAAUAUAAAAGGUUAAAUACAAUUUUUUAUGAAAAAUAUAUUUUCUUUUAAUUAAAAAAUAAAGAUUUUAACCAAAAAAAAAGUUAGAUCCACAAUCAAUUUAAAAUCAUAAGAAAAAUGAUAAAAGCAUCGUCACUUAUUGUGAUUUUGAUAUGAUAAAUUUAAAAUAAAAAUUAAAAGAAAAAUAAUGUAAAUAAUAAAAUAGUAUGACGAUGAUAUUUUUACUUUUACAUGUGAUAGAAUUUACAAAAUAAAUAAAUCUUUUGUUUAGUUUUAAUAUAAAAAAUCUUAUAUCAUAAACUUCUAACUAAUAAAAUGGAGUUUUUAAAUUUAAACCUUAAUUUAUAAAAUGUAUUAUUAUAAUUAAUAUUUAAAAUCAUUAUUAUUUGUGGGAUAAUAUUUUCAUUUUUUUACAUUAUAUAUAUUUUUUAUUUAAUUUGUUAUAUUAAUUAUUUAUUAUAUAUUAUCAUUUUAAGUUUAAUAUGUCAAAAAAAAAAUUAAAAUCAAUAAAUAUAGACAAAUUAGAGAGUAAAAAAAUUAAAAUUAAAGAAUUUUUAUUAAAAAAUGCACGAGCAUAUUAAAAAGAAUAUAAAGACAAAAAAUAAAAAUAAUAAUAAAAAUUAUAAUAGGUGACAAUGGAUUAUGGUGGCAAGAGAGGAAAAAAAAGAAAAAAGAAAAAAGUGGAAACAAAAAAGUGGAAACGUGACAAGUGGUAUGGGAGAUAUAUUGAUAUGAGAAAAAUAAUAAAAUUAAAUGACCCAUAUACUUGUUAAUAGAUAACAUUAAAUUGAUGUGUACUUUUGUCUUUUACUUUUGAGGGUAAUUGUGGAACAAAUUUGAAAGCACGAGUGUAUGAAUAGACAAUAUUUUUUUCCAUUUUACACCAAAAUUUAAAAAAAAAAAAAGUAAAGUUCCAAAAUCUCAUAUUUUUUGUAGUUGGUGUAUGGUUAGAUGAUUUUCCCUUUUUCUUUUUUUCUUUUCAAACAAACUGCAAAAAUCUUUUUUUUUUUUAUAAAAAAAAAAAAAAAAAAUUCUCCAACAAAGUGAUUUUUUUUUGUGGCAUGACUCGGUUUGACCACUAACUCGGUGAACUGGUCUACCGGCUCAAGUUUGGAUCCCUUAAUUUUGUGGCAAAUUGGGCCUCAAGCCCAACAACCUAACUUUCAUGCGGGCUAUCUACUGGAUCUCACGCAUUGUAACUUGGUCUGGGUGAAUGGCCAUUAUAAAUUUCAUUUUAUCCUCAUGUGAUUUUGAUGUGGGAAUGGGAGAGAUGAGGAUUUGACAUUUGGACCUAAGGCUCAAUGGGUUUUAACUCUACUCAACUACUUUAUGCCUUCUAUUUAAUAUUGCAAACCAAAAUAAUAAUAGACAUGAUUCUUUUCAAAAAUUUUAUAAUGUAAUAUUUUUUAAAAUUAUAAAAUAAUAGGUUAUAUAAAUUUUAAUAUAUAGGUAAAAUUCAUUAAAUUUUAACAAAUAUCUUCACAUUUAGACAUUACAUAUUUUUUAUUUAAUAAAAUUUUAAAAUAUUAAUAUAUCUAAAUAUAAUAUUAAAAAUGAAAAAUAAAAUAGUAAUAAUUUUUAUUUUCUUUAUAUAUUUAAAAUUAUAUAAUUAUUUUUUAUUUUAAUAACAUAUAAAUUGUAUAUUUAUAAUAUUAUUGGUUCAACUGUGAUUCAACCAUCGCUCCAAUUAUUCAAUUAUGAAUUAAUAAAUUUUUUAAUUCAAUGAUAGGUUUGAUUAUAAAAAUAUUAUGUUUUUUUUUUUUAUGAAAAGUACUCAAGAAAUAUCAUUAAUCACUAAAAUCACGUGGUUGGGUUAGGUGUAUCCGAAACAUAGGUAUUACUCUCUUCCUUAGUUAGGGCUUAGCUUUUGAAAAUGUAGAUAGGUAAAGUGGAUGGAAAGUCUAUAACUACGUAGAGAUUGAGCUUGGAGGCCAAUCUAGCAAAUGUGGAGAUUAGAAAUAGUUUACCAUCUAGAUAGUCAAGCAUAGCAAUUUACCAAACCCUUACCAACCAUCCAUACUAACCAAUUGUGGUUAAAUGUUUACAAAAAUGUACAUUAAAUCAAAGAGAAAAAAGAUUAAAAACGAACAAGAGAGAAGAAGUACAUCACCUAAUUUUGGUAAUAAAUGAAAUUAAAAUAAAUUCAUAAAUUUUUUAAAUUAAAAUGAAUUUGAACUCUAGAGAUUUGUGUAGAUAUCUUAUUAAAAAACCAAAAAGUUUGUAGCAUAUAUAAUUUCAAUAAUGCAUAAAUAAUUACAACAUACGUAAUACAAUAAUAUUACACAACUAUAUUUUCAAAUAUAAUAUAAGAUCAUUAAAGUGAUAAAUUGUAGUUGUAUAAAAUAUUUAUACAAGUAAAGAAGAAAUUAUGAGAUUAAAAUGCUUGUUGGAUUUUAAGUAAAAAAGAAAUGAGAUAUAGAGAUUGUCCCAUCAGACAUAUAGAAUUUCAUACACAUAAUUUUCCCUUCAAGAAAAUUUAGGGUCAAAUUGAAAAUUUUUCAUUCAUAGAUUUUGGAAAAACCUCUAUCUAGUCCCCCAAGUCUUGUAUACAAAAGUAAAUAACAUUGGUAUGAGGGGUUUGAAUGCUUAAUUUUAGAUUGAAAAUCCUUGAGAUAAUUUUUGAUCGACUUCACAUGUGUUUUUUAUAAACUUGGAACAUUCAAACUUGUAUUUGAAGAAUCUUCAAAUCUUCAAUUUGAUCUUAAAUAAUGUCGAAACCUUCGAAAUUUGAAUAGAAGAAUCUUUAAGCAUUUGAGAUUGAAGAAUCUUCAAAUUUGUGCCUGAAGAUCAAAGGCUAAGCUUGAAGAGUUCUUGAAGCUUGAGUGGUAUCUCCGAUUUUGUUUUGUAUUUUAUAAAAACUUUUAAGUAUACUAUAUUUAUAGGUUUGAAGAGACAUUGAGAUUUUGUAUACAUGUUUGGAGUUUUAAACCUUGAAAUAUUACUCUUUUAUGAAAUUAACAUUUAUAAAAUUUGGAAGAACAUAAUUAGAUAAUCUUUUAAGUUAUUUUUAAUGAAAAUUGAUAAUUACCUUUUAAUUAUCAAAUUCACUAUUUCUAUUUAUUUUUGUAAUAUAUAUUAAUUACUAAAAUCAUUUAUUUCCUUUAUUUAGUUCGAAAGCAAUUAUAUAUCUUUUGUUUGUGUAGAGCUCAUGUGACACGACAAAUUUUAUUUUGUAACUUGCUCUGGAUGAAUGGCCAUUAUAAACUUCAUUUUAUCCUCAUCUGAUUUUGAUGUGGGAAUAGGAGAGAUGAGGAUUUGACAUUUGGACCUAAGCCUCAGAGGGUUUUAACUCCACUCAACUACUUUAUGCCUUGUAUUUAAUAUUGCAAACCAAAAUAAUAACAGACAUGAUCCUUUUCAAAAAUUUUAUAAUAAUAGAAGUGUAAAUAAUAUAAGUAAAAAUAAUGUAAUAUUUUUUAAAAUGAUAAAAUAAUAGGUUAUAUAAAUUUUAAUAUAUAGGUAAAAUUAAUUAAAUUUUAAUAAAUAUCUUCACAUUUAAACAUUACAUAUCUUUUAUUUAAUAAAAUAUGUAAUGUUUUAGAUAGUCAAGCAUAUCUAAAAUAAUACAAAAAAAUAUAUAGAUAGUCAAGCAUAGCAAUUUACCAAACCCUUAGCCACCAUCCAUACUAACCAGUUGUUGUUAAAUGUUUACAAAAAUAUACAUUAAAUCAAAGAGUAAAAAGAUUAAAAACGAACAAGAGAGAAGAAAUACAUCACCUAAUUUUUGUAAUAAAUGAAAUUAUAAUAAAUUCAUAAUUUUUUUAAAUUAAAAUAGAAAUUCAAAUACAUGUAACUAUUGUUUUUGCCUUGUAAAUCAUCCAAUUUUUCAAUGAAUUUAAACUCCACAGAUUUGUGUAGAUAUCUUAUUAAAAAAAGCAAAAAGUUUUCACUAAAAUCAUAAAAUUUAGAUUAGAAAUGAUUUACUAUAUUAGUUCAAAAUUCAUCUCCACAAAAAUUGAAAUAAAUUAAUUAUCUUCAAUUCAAAUAAAAUUUCUCCAAUUAAAUUUCCAAAUAUGUGCUUUAAUACCUAUAAUGGAAUUAGUAAUUUUAAUUAAAAAAUAAAUAAAAAUAAGGAUUUGAUCUUUUUCUUACCAUUUGAUGAAAAUUAUAAAAUAUAUUAAAAUGACAAGUGAUCAGACAUUUGAAAUUUGCAUCAUUUCUACCAUUGCAAACACCACCAACUCCAUAUUUCCCAUUUUUCUACCUCCUGCCAAUUCACUCAUCUCUCUGGGAAGAUUUUUGAGGUUAUCGUCAUGCUUGAGAUAAUCCAGAAAGUUGAGCGGCAUCACUCUCUAAAAGGUGCCUUACAGCAUGGGUAAUGUAUGGGAUACAUUUGAUAGCUUGUCAUAUCCAUAAACCACUAUAUUAAACCAUGGUUCAUAUCCCCAACGCCACACGAGAAUCUGUACUCAUCCCAAGCAGCUUGGAGAUCAUAAAAUUAGGUUUUGAGGGCCUCCCGAGACAUGCACAGCUUCACCCUUUGUGCAUUCCUUUGAUUUGGAAAAUUUCUUCUGUAGAAUUCCCCAUUAUCAUGCCCUGAACCAAGACAUAUCAUGAUUGGAUGGGCCCCUUCACCAAUUUCACAAUAUCCAAUAGCAUAUCAUUUACUUCCAUUUUGUCAAUGGGAAUUACCAUUUUGCAUAGGAAGCACCAACGGAGAUGGGGGUUUUCAAAUUGGAUCACUAGCAAAGAAACCCACCGCAACUAUCUGAAUAAUUGAGCACAACAUCGGCUUUAGAGAACUCCUCCUGAAGGCGAAAUCGUCAUCUUGGCUAAACGUAGUCAUAGUUGGGUUGUGAGAAAUGGAGAUGAAUCACAGAGGGCUUUCAGUUUGAUAGCAACGAAAAGGUAAAUGUACUCUAGAGAAGUUUUGACCUUGGGAGAAGUGCUUUUGAAUCCAAGUCAAGGUCUGUUCUGGAUCCCUUUUUGACUCUCUCUAUUAAAGGAAAAUAAUCUGCCCAGGAUUUGGAUGCAAGCCUGCAAGGCCAUGUUUAGGAGACUUAUGCAAAAUAUUUAUCCAUAGCUCCCCGCCUGAAACAUCUACAUAAAGCGUCUUCCAAGUGUGAACCAUCGUCUUGGGUCCUUGAGAUGAACAAAAACUGAGACAUAUCGUGAGUUGGAUGCAUUGCCUGAAAAUGCCGAGCAGUAGUAUGACCUUCUUUCUGAUCAACUGUUUUGUCAAAUUCUAGAGCUCUCAUUCCAAAUCCAUCAGUUUUCUCAGAUGAUUGGCCAGUGGAGAUCCAUGGAUAUAACAUAUGAAAUGUGCACAAUAAAAGUAAUCAAACGGUUGGUUGGUUUGGCUGAAUCCCACAAUCGCAAAGACUUAUCAUACGAAACUGUUACCAGCUGAGUUGAAUUUGGCCUAAAAAGGAUAUCCGUUACUACAAACUAGCGUUCUUUCGUGGUGCUCUCUCUUUGCAGGCUAUCCAUGUUCCAAAGAAAAACUCUCUUGUCAUGUCUGGCACUGGGCACUGAUUAGAGUGUGGGACGUUCAUUCUCCAUUAUCACCAAACACAUGCAGGAUAUAUAUAUAUAUAUCAAUUCAUUCAAAAUAUGCCUUCAUUUUAUGGAACAUACCCGAAUCCAUUUUGUUUGUGUUGAAGAGGUAUAAAUCUUCUAAGGCUGUGGAGGGCACCACCUUUUCUCAGAAUUCUCUCUGACGAUGGGAAGCCGAAGAGAACGGGUUCUAUUUUUAUUUUGAAAAUGUUGUUAUCCUUAAAGAACAAACACUAUUCUUUGUAUUUAUACCCUCCUGCCUUAUGGACCAUACCGUUUGGCUAUUGGGCCUCACGAGUCUUAGGCCCAUCAUCUAAGGCCCGUGAUGGCACUAGGCUCUACACAUAAGGUGGCCCAUACUCUGGAACGAAUAGAAAUCAUAUGUAUAUAUAUGGAUAGCUAAAUCCUGAACAAUGGUUAAUAUGAUGUCAGUCCACAUUUAUUCUAUCAAUCUCCCACUUGGACCACAUAUAUUACAAAACAAUGUUCAUGAUAGUACUUUAUUGAGCUCAUCUUUGCUAUCCUAUCUUAAUAUCCUUAAACAAUCCGGUCUACUAGUUAUGCUAACAUAGGAUCAAAGUGGUCUUCAUUAAUCAUAAUUAUAACUAGACACAUCAAUGAUCACAACAUUAAUAAAAUUAGCAACAUAGAUCAAGUAUGGAUGUGUGGCAUGGAAAUUACAUAAAAUGUGAUCUUUAUUAUGUCUAUUUCCAAUUGGUCUUACUUUAUGACUAAAAAAUAGUCAAAUUCCACUUUCAACACUUGAUGCUAAACUGCUUCUGAAAGUCAUCAUUUCAAUUCAGAGAAUUCAAAUACAAUAGUCUUUAAAAUCAAGGUUUGUACAGAUAACACAAUAUAACAUCAUAUCAAGAAAACAAACACAAAAUCUAAAUAUAAACUCUCACUAUACUGGAACAUCAUCAAUAUGUACAACACCCAUAUGUGUGACAUGCUCAUGAUAUACUUUGGGUGGCAAACCCUUAGUAAGCGGAUCCGCAAUCAUGAAGUUUGUGCUUGUAUGUUCAAUCGAUACUUGAAGACUCUGAACUCUUUCUUUCACAACCAAGAACUUGAUGUCAAUGUGUUUGGACUUUGACGAACUUCGGUUGUUCUUAGAAUUACAAUUCUGUAGCUUUAUUAUCACAAUUUAUUCUUAAUGGUUUCUCAAUCUCAUCAACGAUUCGCAACUGAGCGACAAAAUUCCGCAGCCAUAUCCCAUGGUUUGAUGCUUUGUAGUAGGCUAUGAAUUCUGCCUCCAUGGUGAAAGAAGCAAUAAGUAUUUGUUUAACACUUUUCCAUGAAACUGUUCAUCCAGCCAACAUGAAGAUGUAGCUUGAAGUGGAUCUCUUGCUGUCAAGACAUCCCGCGAAAUCGGAGUCCGAAUAUCCCAUGAUCUCUAAAUAACUGGAUCUACUACAUGUGAGCAUAUAAUCUUUAGUUCUUUGUAAAUACCGCAUAACCUAUUUUGCCUUUUUCUAGUGAUCCAUACCUGGGUUACUCAAAUAUUUGCCUAACAUUCCAAUAAUGUACGCAAUAUCUGGACACGUACAAACUUGUGCAUACAUGAGACUUCCUAUUGUUGAGGCAUAGGGAAACCUCUUCAUAUCCUUCUUUUUAAGUUCAUUUUUCGGACAUUGGUGCAAACUAAAUUUAUCGCCUUUUGCUAUAGGCAUGUCUCCUGGUGUACAAUUGCUCAUGCCAAAUCUACUCAACACCUUAUCGAUGUAGGCCUUUUGUGAUAACCCAAGUAUACCUCUUGAACAAUCCCUAUAGAUCUAUAUACCCAGCAAAAAAGAUGCAUGACCAAGAUCCUUCAUGUCAAAUUUACUAGAAAAAAAUCGCUUGGUUUCAUGCAAAAGUCCCACAUCACUACUUGCAAGUAGAAUAUCAUCAACAUAUAGCACCAAGAUAAUGAAUUUGCUCCCACUAAACUUGAGAUAUAUGCAUUGAUCAAUGGUGUUUUCCUUAAAACCAAAUGAAGUAAUCACCUGAUCAAACUUUUGGUACCAUUGUCAAGAUGCUUGCUUUAAACCAUAUAUGGACCUUUUUAAUCUGCAUACAAGUUGCUUUGAAUCAUUAGACUCAAAGUUCUUCGGUUGCAUCAUGAAUAUUGUUUCAUCAAUGUUACCAUUAAGAAACGCAGUUUUAACGUCCAUUUAAUCUAGUUCUAAAUCAUAAUGAGCCAUAAGUGCUAUGAUGAUUCUAAAGGAGUCAUUUGACGAAACCGGUGAAAAGGUCUCCUUAUAAUCAAUGCCUUCCUUUUGAGUGAAACCUUUUGCGACUAGACGUGCCUUAUACCUAACAAUGUUACCUUUUGAAUCCCACUUGGUCUUAAAAAUCCAUUUACAACCAAUCGGUUUUACACUUUCAGGCAACUUUACUAGGUCCUAAACACCAUUGUCUUUCAUUGAUUUCAUCUCAUCCUUUAUGACUUCUAUCCACUUUUCAGAGUCAGAACUUUUUUUGACUUGAUUAACUGAAAUUGGAUCGUCUUCCAGACCCAUGUCAAACUCUUGUUCCUGGAGAUGUACAACAUAAUCAUCUGAAAUUGUACUUCUCCUUUCUCUAGUGGAUCUCCUCAAUGGAACUUGUAUUUGAGGUUCUUGAGGCUGUUGAGUUACCUCUUCAUAAACUUGAAUCGGUUCCAUAACUUGAGCAGGAGGAAUCUCAAGUGUGUUUUGAAUCUAUGUUAUUGACUGUACAUUCUGGAUAGUGUCAUCAAACAUAAUAUGACCAUGUCCAGUCGUAAUAAUAGGAAUACUAACAGAUUCCUCUUCAAAUACCACAUUUCUUAACGGUUCUCUCCCAUUUAACUCAACAUCCUCAAUAAAUUUAGCUUUGCCCGUUUCAAAAAAAGAUCUAGUUGAGGGGUCAUAAAACUUGAAACCUCUCAACCUUUUAGAAUAUCCUACAAAGUAGAAACUCACUGUUUUGGAGUCCAAUUUCUUUUCAUUUGGUUUUUAAGGCCUAGCUUCAACUGGACAACCCCAGACAUGUAAGUGCCUAAUACUAGGUUUCUUGCUAGUUCAUAACUCAUAUGAGGUUUUGGCUACUACUUUGCUUGAGACUCUAUUCAAAAUAUAAAUUGUUGUUUUGAUGGCUUCGCCCCAAAGUGAUUCUGGUAAGGUGGAAUGACUGAUCAUACUUCUUACCAUAUCCUUAAGAGUACGGUUUCGCCUAUCUGCUACACCAUUUUGGCUUGGAGUCCCUAGCAUGGUGUAUUGAGGAAUGAUACCACACUCCAUCAAAUAUUUGGUGAACGACCCUGGACGUUGUUCACUGGAUCCGUCAUAUCUAUCAUAAUAUUCACCUCCACGGUUAGAUUUGAUGACCUUUAUUUUCUUGCUUAGUUGGUUCUCAACUUUAGCUUUGAAAUUCUUGAACACAUCUAAUGAUUGAGACUUCUCAUGAAUCAAAUAAAGAUAGCCAUAGCGUGAGUAAUCGUCAAUGAAAGUGAUAAAAUAUUGUUGUCCAUUCCAAGAAGGGGUAGGAAAUGGACCACAAAUGUCCAUAUGUAUCAAUUCAAAGACGUCACUACACUUGUUAGCAUCAUUUUUUUCUCAUAUUUGUUUGUUUACCCUUAAUACACUCUAUACAGACUCGAAAGUCUAAGAAAUUAAGUUGAUCAAGAAUUCAUUCUGACACAAGCCUUUGAAUACGUUGAUUUGAAAUAUGACCCAAACGCCUGUGCCAUAACAUCGAUGAAUUCUCAUUUGUUAAUUUCCGUUUAAUGUCAUAAUUACUUGAAUUCAAGGUUUCAUUUCCAUUAGUGGUCUUUAUGUUUAAUUUGUAUAAUUUGUCUGUUAGACUACCUGUACCAAUAACAUUUGAAUUUAGAUAAAGACUAACCAUUCCAUUUCUAAAUGAACAAUAAUAUCCAAAUUUGUCCAGAUAUGAAACAAAAAUUAAAUUCCGUCUAAACGACGGUACUACAAAAGUCUCUUCCAAAUCCAAAGUACAUCCAGAGUCUAACUGUAAUCUAAAAAGACUAAUAGUCUUGACUGCAACCUUGUUGCCAUUUCCCACAUAGAUGUAUCUUUCACCAUCAAUUGGCAUUCGGCUCCUUAGGCAACCCUACAUCGUGACACUUAUGUGAGUAGUUGCACCCGUAUCUAUCCACCAAGUGUCAGUAGGCACUAUGACUAAAUUAAUUUAUGAACAAACAAAGUUGAGAAGUGUACCUUUCUUUUCACGCCAAGCAGCGUAUUUGGUACAUGUCUUCUUCAUAUGACCAACCUUCUUACAAAAGAAUCAAGUCAUCUCCUUAUCUUGUUUCUUUUGCACCUUUUGCAUUGAUGUCCCAAAAAUUGCAGUUUGUUUUUCUUUAUUGUCCCUCUUUCUUUUCUUGUUGGUACCAAAUCCCUGAGAUGUGGAAGCCAAGUGAGCACUUUCUAUCUUUUCUUGUUUCAAUCUCUCAUCCUCUUGUGCACAUUGAGUAAUAAGCUCAUUCAAAGUCCAUUUUUCCUUUUGUGUGUUGUAACUGAUUUUGAAUGGAGUGAAUUGUGUGGGCAGAGAGAUCAAGACCAAGUGCAUGAGUAUGUCUUCCGAAAACUCUAACUUUAGUGUCUUUAGUCUAGUCACAAGAUUAGACAUUUCCAUAAUAUACUCCCUUAUAUUCUUUUUCCCUUUGUACCGCAUAGAGACAAGCUUACUAAGAAUAGUGCUUGUCUCAACCUUUUCAUUUGCAGCGAAUCGGUUUGCUAUCUGGUCUAAGAAUGCCUUGGCUCGAGUUUUCUCAGGUAUUGCACUCCUUAUAGCUUUUGGAAUUGAGUGCUUCGUUAUCAUUAGACUCAUGCGAUUGGAUCGCUCCCAUUUUUCCAUAGUAGACCUUUGCUCAGCAGUGCUGGCACUAGUAAGAUCUGGAGGGCGAUCCUCUCUUAAUGCAUAGUCUAAAUCCAUGCACCUAAGCACAAUUAUAGCGUGCUCCUUCCAUUUCUUGAAGUUUGUGUCAUUAAGCACAGGAAUGUUAUUAACAUUUUCAGAUAUAGAAUAUGUUGAAUUCAUAAUAAUAAAGCUCACAAUCAGCCACAUAAACAUCAUACAUACAUGAAAAAUAACAUCAUACAAGAUACUUAGCACAAACAUUAAUAUUCUGUCUUUGGACAAUAAAUAUUAACUUGUAAUUGGUAUCCUUAUACAAAAUUAAUUCAUAAAUAUUGACAAUAAAACCAAAAACAAUAUGCCUGUCUUUAGAUUAACAUAUCAAAUGCAAGAUAAACUUUAUAUGUCACAUAUUUAUGACUACUUUAUUUAUUAUUAUAUUAAAAUAAUCUUCAUUUGGGCCGAUUAUUUUAAAUAAUAAUAAUAUGUUUAGAUAUUAUAAAAUAAAUAAAUUAUAUAAUAUAAGUUACUUUGGCAAUUAACAUACAUAAUUCAUUUAUUUUAAAAUAUUAAACACAAACAUAACAAGAAAUAAUAAAUUCAAUUAAAAUUAUUUAUUUAUUUAUGCAUAACCCAUGUAUAUAUAUAUAUAUAUAUAUAUUAAUUGAAGCAUAAAAAACCAUCUACAUGUGUAUAUAUAUCAAUUGAAGCAUAUAUACAAGCUUUAGUCUAAUGGUUUAAGCAAAAAAUAGGCCAUGGUAAAGGGUUUAAGCCAACCCGCCCCUUUAGUUUGGUUUUUGUUUUAAUUUCUUUGGGGCUACUGACCAUGCAUUCUUUCAUGGCCCAACGACCACUUAUGGUCACUUACAAGCCAAGCCCUUUCCAUAUAUAUAUAUAUAUGUUUUUUUUUUUUAAAUUUUGUCCAUUGCAGCCCAAAGCGACCAUCCCUUGUAAUGGCAUCAUCAAUGGUGCCAGAGCUGUCCUCAAACGACACCGACAGUGAAACGCCGCCACCAUCAUUGGAACGGUGUCACUACCGGAAUGACGCUGUAAUGUCAUCGCUGGGAAGCAGCCUAACCUGUGGCGUGACACCGUGACAAGCAAUGCCGCAAGCAAUGAAACGUUGUCGCCAUCACCGGAACGGUGAUUUUCCAUCGCCAAACGAUGGCACCACCACCGGAACAACGCUGUAACGACAUCACUGGGAAGCAGCCCCACCCGCGGCACCAAAAUGGCACUUGGAUGGCAUUUGGAAUGCUUGCAAUAGCGCUCAAAUCAGUGCUUCUCACUGGCAAAUGACGCUUGAACGACGUCUGGAAAUAAUGCCUACAACGCCUAAAAAUUAUGCUCUUUUGAACGCCUGAAACAACGUUGAAAUGAUGUCUACCGGCGUCUGGAAUUGCACCGCUGUCUAGAACGAUGUCAUGAUGAUGUCUCACUCGCCUUAAAUGGCACCAACCAUCAUGACUUGCAGCCCAAAAAAUGGCACUUGAAUAGUGCUGAAGCGUGCCUAGAACGACGCUGCAAACGAUGCCUGAAAUGGUGCCUUUUGUAUGCCUGAAAAAGGCACAGGAAUGACGCCUAAACUACGUCCACUUUGAACACCUGAACGGUGUCCUAAUGGCGCCUGGAAUGGUGCCUGAAUGACGCCUGGAAUUGGCGCAGAUUUAUUUUAUGUUGUUUCCUUCCUCUUGGAUCUUUUGUUUGUGUUUUAAAAAAAAAAAAAAAGUGUUUUGGUGAAAAUGGGAAAUGCAACCAGGCUCUGAUACCAUUUUGUGGGACGUUCAUUCUCCAUUAUCAUCGAACACAUGCAGGAUAUAUUUAUAUAUAUCUAUCAAUUCAUUCAAAAUAUGCUUUCAUUUUAUGGAACAUACCCGAAUCCAUUUUGUUUGUGUUGAAGAGGUACAGAUCUUCUAAGGCUAUGGGGGGUACCACAUUUUCUUAGAAUUCUCAUUGAUGAUGGGAAGCCAGAGAGAACAAGUUCUAUUUUUAUUUUGAAAACGUUGUUAUCCUUAAAGAACAAACACUAUUAUUUGGAUUUAUACUCUCCUACCUUAGGGACCAUACCCUUUGGUUAUUGGGCCUCACGAGUCUUAGGCCCAUCAUCUAAGGCUCGUGAUGGCACUAGGCUCUACACAUAAUGUGGCCCAUACUCUGGAACGAAUAGAAAUCAUAUGUAUAUAUAUGGAUAGCUAAAUCAUGAACAAUGGUUAACAUGAUGUCGGUUCACAUUUAUUAUAUCAUAGAGACUUCCCAUAUGAAGAAAAUCGACAGUAGGUAGCUUUGCCAUUCUUAGUCCAUAUACAACCAACCUUAGCAAGGGUUGAACCCUUUGAUGCUUAGUUGUGCCAUACAGAUCCUUACCACCGCCUACAACAUGUAAUCGAAAUGAUUCGAUAAUAUCAUCUAGUGAACCAAUACCUCCAAAUGAGAGACCAUUGCCUUGGUAACUAGGGCUCAUGACUGAGAAUUGCAUGAACCCCUUUGCUUGGGUUGGAGCUUGACUGAUGCACAAAAUAUUCAUAGGCCUCUUCCCAUAACUGGCACCUUGUGUUUGCAACAUAAUUGAACAUGUAUUGAAGUGAGUUUUUUUGCAUCUUUUUGUAAGAAAAUUCUAAACAACAGAGACUACUUAGUGUGCCCGGCUCCUCAGGGAAUCAAGGUUCAUUCCUGUAGGGCUAGUUUUUUCACAGUCGAACUAGAUAACAUGGAGAGUAUGUUGCAAUGCUUCAACGGGGUAUUUCUUAGGAAAAUCCACCUGAAGCUGGUAUAAUUCGUUGGCAUACUGAGUUCCUGGAGCUCUAUUGACUUCAAUCACCCAUCUCUGUAGAUUAUCGGUGACUUAUGCUCGGAUCCUGUAGGAGGAUUGACCUGACAUUCCACUAGCUCUUUCUAGAAGGCGAUCUUGUUUAACACCUUGUGAGAAGAGGCAAGGGAACUGGUCAUUGUUUCUUCAAGAAGAUCAGUGGUCGAGGAUGGGUUUGGACCAGAAUUGCUAUAUGGGUUUUCUUUGGGUGAACCAAUUAGUGGAGUAGGUGGCUAUAUAGCAACUAAAGGGUGGUCAUACUAACGAGGAGCUAUUAUUUCAUGCAUGUGGAGAGAAAAUGAGUAGCUUCUUCAAGGAUAUAUGAUUAUUCAUCUCUAGCUUACGUUGAAUCCUAACAAAUUUCUGCUUUGAAGCUUCCUUAGUUUCACUACAGUUAACUUGGCCAACUUGGUUUCAUCAUGUUUCCUACAACCUCUAAGCAAAGCACGCCAGAUCACCGAAUCAGGUUCUAUUCACAUUUUGUCCAUAAACUCCUUUGCCUAUUGACAAUAGACUGCCCCUCAAAAUUUGAUGAGAUAACAUCAACGCUGACAUGUUGGCCAUCCCCAUAAGCAUCUUUAUAGAGAUUGAUUCUAUGUUUAGAUAUUUCUCUCUCCUCAAGUGAGUUCAACUUUUUUGUAACAUCCUUCUCCUUCUCUACUAAUAGUCUUAGCUGAACAUCCAACCUAUGUUCCCAAAGUGCCAGCAUCUCAUAUCUGAUGACAAGCCAACAACCUUGCCCUUGCUGAGACCCAAAUAAGUAUCCAGAACCAUCAGCAUCAACCCUUUCAUAGGCCUUUGUGUUUGAAGGUCGAAUUGGGAUUGCUUUGAAUGCACUGGCACUGCAAUACACAAUUGUUUCUUCUCCAAUAAAAACACCAUAAAGAGGUGAGGGGACUGGUAUUAGCAAAGAAGUGUUGUUAUUUAUAUUGUUCUGAGCCCGAGUACCCUCAACAAAAUCCUCAUCCUCAUCUGUACUUUUCCAUUACAUCCCUAGGCUUUUCAAUGUGAUCCACAUGGCUUACAGGAAUCCAAAAAUACCGGUCUGUAUAAAAGUUGCUCUUAUGGGGCUCUCAUAGAAAACAUCCCUAUCAAGAUGAUCAACCUAGCUUAGAUGCUCAGCACCCCAAACUUACCAAAAAUAGAGGAAUAAAAAGCAAGGAUAGGAGCCAAAGUAAAAAACUGAGGAAAGAGUAAAUAGGAAAUCAAGCAAAACAUGAAUGUACAAAGCCUCAUUUCAGGUGACAUCUUUAGGCUAAUAAUAGGUGGAAUUAACAAAGUAGAUAAGCAUGAUUGUUAUAAAUAUCAAGUUCAAGGAUGAAGUCGUGCAUCAGCUACUUAUUGGGGGAGUCAAGGAAACCAAGAUAAGAUCAAAGAGAGCAUGUAUGCAAAUGAACAGAUUCGACAAAAUAGACCAAACAGCUCGUGAAUAUCCUCCUACAAAAAACUACUACACGUGGCAAAAAGUGAUGAAACAAAAAGAGUUGGGUCCGCAUAUACAUAUCUUAUUCUAUCCUAUUCCUUCAAAUCCAAAGCAACCUGUAUUUUCAAUGGGAUUUGUUGUGAUGAAUUUUACUAGAUUGUAACAUGUAAAUAUGUUAAAAGAGGCUUGGGACAUUCCUAUAUAGUAACGCAUAAAGGUACUUCCAUUGUGAAGUUGUCAAAAUUGCAAAUUUAAAUUACAAAAUUUGAAAACAUAGAGAUGAAAGAUGAUGAAACCUUCUUUGAAAUUUUAUAUUGAACUCAUUAAUAUUAUUAAUUUUCAUUUCAGUCUGGGGGAAAGAAUUCUUUACUCUAAAGUGGUCACAAAAAUAUUAAAAUUCCUUGUCGAGAUAUUUAGACCUAAAGUGACCAAUAUAGAAGAAAGUAAAAAUAUUCUAAGUGUAGGUAAACUUGUAGACUCAAAUGACUCUACCUUCUCAUAAAAAAUCCUCAAUUUUAUAAAUUAUAUAGAUUUCUUCAUUUGAUACAAAAUUUGAAUAAAGAUUUUUCAAAUGACAACACAAGGAAAGGAAAAAAAAAAUCUCUCCAAAUCAUAUUAUUUAAUCACUUAAAUUAUUUAAAAAUAAAUAUGUUUACUGCUAACAUUAUUUAGGUUCAUCUUUCUUUUGAUGGAGGUUAAAAUUCAUAAUUUUGAGGAAAAAGAUGAGGAUUCUCAUUUUUUUUUUUCCAUGUAUGAAUGGGAUUCUCAUUGUGUAUAUAUGGGUUACUAAAUGGCAAAUUUGGGGGCCAAUAUGAGGGAAAAAAUGAAAUUGAGUUUGUCACCAAGAAUAGACAUGGUUCCUACAAAGGUGGCAUCUUUAAUUUCAUGUUUGGAUUGGACUUGUCAUGUAACAACUUAACAAGUGAAAUCCCUCAUGAACUUGGAAUGUUAAGUUUGAUUCAUGCAUUGAACUUGUCUUGCAAUCAACUAAAGGGCUCCAUUUCAAAUAGUUUUUGCAAUCUUUCUCAAAUAGAGAGCUUAGAUCUUUUUAAUAAUAAACUAAGUGGAGAAAUUCCUCCAAAAUUGGUUAGACUAACUUUUUUAGUGGUGUUCAAUGUGACUCACAGUAGCAUCUUUGGAAGAGUUUCAGAUAUGAAUGCAUAAUUUGCAAUAUUUGAUGAAAGUAACUAUGAAGAUAAUCCUUUCCUUUGUGGGCCACCAUUAAAGAGAAAAUGCAGCAUAAAUGUUAAGCCACCUUACCCACCAUUAGAGUCUUCGGAAAAAAGUGAUGCAAAAUGGUAUAAUAUCGAUCUUGUGGUUUUCUUUGCAAGUUUUACUAUAUCAUAUAUCAUGAUAUCAUUAGGAAUUUCAACCAUUCUUUACAUUAACCCUUAUUGGUGUCAAAGAUGGUUCAAUUUUAUCGAGAAAUAUAUAUACUUUUGCUAUUAUUUUGUUUCCUAUACUUUUUCCAAGUUAUUAACAUAUUUUGAAUAAUUAGAGAUUUUUGUUUUCAAUAAUAUUUACAUAAUUAACUACUAUUGGCUUCCAUGACAUGGAAAGAAAUGCGGUGAAGGCAACAACCACUUUUUUUUCUCCUCUACUAGUGCAUGAUUGAUAUGAGUUAAAACUUGCACCCUUAUCUUUGCUUAAAUUUUCUCAGCUUUUGUUUCAAUUCUUAAUUAUCAUUUCUUUUAUGUAUUGUUUAAUACAAUAUCCUAAACACAUUGCUUUGAAGGUUACUUAUUUAUUAAGCAUGAUAUUUAUUUUCAUAAAAACAAAUUCAAGUUUUUUAGGAAUUUUAGAAUUAUUAUAAUUAUUAUAAUUUGGAGUUCACAUUAGAGGAAAAAAGGAAAGAAAAGAAUAGAUGAUUAAAAAAACAAUUUUAGUAAGUAUAAUUUGUCAUCUUCGGUAUAACAAAUGGGAAUUCCAAAAUAAUAUUUCAAUUUGUUAGUCUAUUCCUUAUAGUAUUAAUUGAUAUAUCAAAUAGGAAGUCACGUUUUGAUUUUUUAUUAGCUUGAAUUGCAUGUCACAUAUAUUUUAAAAUCAAGCAUACAUCAGCCGGGAAGUGCUUGUAACAUGCAUGAACCCUCUUUGUUUAAUAAUAAUAAUAAUAUACUACACAUUAUUAAAUCAUAUAUGUAUAUUUAUAGUCGUAUAAUAUAUUUAUAUAAGUAACAAUAAAUUAUAUUGUAUAAGGUUUCGGUAGGAGUUUUCAAUUCCCUCAUACAAUAAUAUCUAUCAAUAAUUGGAAUAAUAUAUUUAAAUAAAUAUUUUGCAGGUUGUGUGAAUAAAUAUAAUUGCUAUGAAGGGUUUCAAUUUAAUUUUACUAGCAAAUCCAUAAUAGGUGAAAAGACAAAACUACCAUUUUUGUUUUUUUUUUUCUUUAUUUACCUUUUUUCUCUCGUAACCUUACUCCUUUCUCCUUUUUGUUUUUUCCUUUUUAAUUAUUAAUUUGUCUUUUUCCUUUUUCUCAACUAACUAUUUUUUUCUUGUAAUUGGUAUUAUCAUUCUUAUUAUAAAUAUUAUAACCUUAUAUUAUAAAUUUUUAGUUUAGAUUAUAUUUAAACUAACUAAUGUUGUGGUUUUAAUUGACAUGGAAAAGAAUGUGGUUAUACAUGUGAUUGUCGCCUUUUUUUUUUCAAUUAGUUAACUAUUGAUACAAGUUAAAAGUAAAAAUUGCAAUAUUAUCUUUACGUCAAUUUCACCGAUCUUUUGUUUUUAUUUUCAUGUAUCAUUCCUUUUUUGUUUAUUUAAUCAAAAGGAUUAAAAAAAAAUCACAUAUUCACAAGAAUAACCUUCAUAUUUUAAAAACAUAAAAUAAACAUUUUUUUUUUAUAAAUAUACCCUCCAACUAUAUUUUUUAUAUCCAUAUUUCAAAUCCAAACACUUCUUUUAAAAAGAAUAAUAAUAAAUAAGGGCAAAAAUGUCAAACUGGGAUUAUAUUUAUAAUUUUCAAUAAUUAGAGGGUGUUUACUUUACAUAACGACAAAUUCAAUUUUUUUGGAAUUUUUUAAUGUUAAAAUAAUUUGGAGCUUAAUAGGCAAAAAAAAAAAAAAAGAAUAAAUAAUUAGAAAAGCAAUUCAAAAAAAUAAAAUUUAUCCUCUUAAAUUGGUUUUGUGUAAUACUAUAGAAGCCAUUUCUUGAGUUUGAUAUGGUAGAAUUCGGAUUCAUAUUUAUUUUAAAAUCAAGAAUUUCAAGGGUUGGUAGCAUCAAUAGAAUCUUAACAAAUUUGCAAAAAAAUAUUUAGGUUGAUCACAUUUAAAUAUAGCUAACAGAAUAAAAAAAUUAAUAUUAUUAGGAAGACAUGAUCAAUUAAAUCUUUUUUCUUAUCUAUGACACCGAUUUUAUAUUUUUACAUAGUCAAUAUAAUUUAUUACAACUUAUAUGUCAUUAAAUUAUACACGUUUAUAUUAAAUAUAAUAUAAGAUCAUUAAUGGAAUAAUUAUGCAAGUAAUAUAAAUUGUAUAUAAUAUAAAAAAUUUAAACUCCAUCAAACUAAUGGAAUCUAUUAUAAUAAGUAGACUAGACACCAUGUUGGCCCGAGUUGGAGGCCUGGGCCAGAUUUUAAAGGCUGGGCUUUGAGUUGCCCGUGGGCCUGAGCCAAGGCCUUCUCUUGGUAUCAUCAUUUUGAAGAAAUAAAUUGCUGAUACAGAGAAAAAAACUAUACUAAAUAGAAAAAUAAAUAAAAGCAUUGACUAAAAUGAAGGUCAAGGUCCUUGAAAAAUAAUCUUUAAAUUGUUGCAUAUAUAAUUUCAAUAAUGCAUGAAUAAUUGCAAUAUAUAUGAUAUGAUAAAGAAUUUGGAAUUAAAAGAAGAUUGAUCUAUUUUAAAUGUGGCUGAAAUAUUUCUAAAUUUGCGAUGGGAAGUUAGACAGCCAAUUAGGGACCCAUAUUAUUUAUUUUCAAUGCAACAAUAUAAAAUAUGUCAAUUUUCUAAAAUUUAAAAAGUAAUUGUAAAAGAAAUUUUUUAAUUAUUUUUCUGAAAUUGAGUUUAUUAUAACAUUUUUCUUUACAUAAAUUUCGUUUUUAUUUUUAUUUUUUAAAAAAUGAGAUAUGAAAAAAAAAGAUCAAUAUUAGUAAAAGUAAAACCCAAUAUAUAAAAAAAAUGAAUAAAUGUUUAUGAAAUAAGAUUUAAAAGUGAGAAGGUAAUAUAUUUUUUCUCUUUUAAUUCCUAUUCAAUUCAUUACAAAAAAUAUUUUUGGUUUUUAUGCUAAAAUUUAUUGUUUAUUCAAAAAUUCUAGUAUAUCUAGCUAUCUUAGAAGAGCUCCAAAAUUUUAUUGUUUAAGAGAAUAUGUGUUGCCACUUUAAAAGAUUUAUAUGCAAAAGGGAUUGAUAUUUUUUUCCUUUGGAUAUGUUUAGUUCCCGGAAAAUUUAAGGGAAAAUGUGAGGGAAGAAAAAUAGAGAAGAAAAGUAUAAUGAAAUAAAAAGUGAAAGAAAAUGAAAAAUAGAUUUAAAGUUAAUAAAUUAUUUUCAUUGGUUUUUUCAAAGUUAUUUUACUUAUUUUAUUCUAUUAAAUAAAGAUUAACUAAUUUUAAUUAUAUUUGGUUUGAUUUUUAUUAUUUUUCAAAGCAAAACCAAAUAUGAAAAAAAAAACAUUUUUUUUUGUUAUUUUUUUCUUUCCUUAUUACUUUUCAGGACUCAAACAUAGCUUUUAGAUCUGGAGCAUGGAAAGAUAAGAGUAUUGAAUAAAGGUUCUAUAUAUGCCCAUGCCCAUGAUACCAUUGAAAAAAAUGGAGAGAGGGUGAAACCUUUACUAGAUGAUAAAUUAUUCUCUUCAAUGGAAAUCAAAUAUAAUUAUUUUUAUCUUGUAUUAAUUGAAUGUUAUACUCCAUAAACUCAAAAUUAAAAUAAAUAAAUAAUUUAAAAACUAGCACAAUCCCAUUUUUUUUCAAUUUCUUAAAAAGAAAUUAAAUUAUAUUUAUUUAUAUCUAUUUUCAUCCCUACCCAAAAAAAUAAAAAAAAUUAACAAGGUGGGACAUGUAUGAGAAAUUCUCACACUAACUCUCUCUAGUUUAUUUUUUAUUUUUUAAAAAAAUCAAUUUCUUUAAAAAAAAAUUAAACUACAUAAAAAAUAAACAAAUUUUACAAUUUUUUUUAAGAAAAGUAAAUUUCUUAUUUUAUAUAUGUUAAAAAUAAAUAUAAUCUUUUAUUUUUUAUAUAUAUAAUCGGGUAAGGUAGAGUGGGACAAAGAAAUAAUCCCCUUCGAUUCCAAUCCGAAUUUUUAAAAUAUAAAAUAAAAAUCUUAAACUCAUCCCAAAUUCAUUUAUUUUUAAUCCUAAACUUGUCUUAUUAAGAAUAAGACAAAGUGAGUACAUGAAAACACUUCUUUUAUCAUCAUCUCUACAAGUUCUAAUAUUUAGACUGCAAUCCAUAUCAAAGAUUUAUAAAGAAAGAACAACGAUGAAUUACAUAAACAUUUGAAAGCAUAUACAAAGUUUUAAAUAAUAUUGCUUGAGGUGCAAAUAUUAUUUGGCGCACAUGUUGAGGGACUUCAACUGGUGUAGUCUAGGUUUUUUACACUAGUAAGUAAUCUUGAAUAUCUAGAGUAACUUGAUCAAAAUCUCUUUAAUUUUAUUUUCUUUGAUGGUUGUAUGAUGAAUUAGAAUGCUUAUAUAACAUGAUUAAAAAUUUUAAGAAAAAAAACUAAGAAGAAAGAAAGAAGCACCGAUCUUCCAAAUAUUGCUUCCACUUUAAUAUCUAGAAGGCUCUAAGAAAAGAACUUUAUUCAUGAAUCAUAACCCAAGUCGAAAAUAAAUUGAAUCCAUUUUCUAAGUUAAAAUUUGAAUUUUUUUACUGAUGAAUGCAAAUUGGGAAAAUGUAUAUAAAUAUAAUUAAACUAGAAUAGUAGGUUAGGUUUGUAGGUGGAGUUUGUUUGAAUUGUUGGAACUUCCAAGUCGUUGUGGGUCUAGUGGUCUCAUAGCUCUCUAUUAAUUUCCACCAUCAAUUUUCUACAAUAAAGUCAAGUCAUUCCUAACCCCUAUAUUAAGUUGGCCUUAAAAGUUAAGUCAUUGAUCAUAGUUACAUUCAUGAAUCACAACCCAAGUCGAAAAUAAAUUGAACCCAUUUUUUAGUUCAACUUUGAAUUUUUUACUAGUGAAUGCAAAGUGGGAAAACAUAUAUAAAUAUAAUUAAACUAAAAUAGUAGAUUAGGUUUGUAGGUGGAGUCUGCUUGAAUUGUUGAAACUUCCAAGUCAUCGUGGGUCCAGUGGUCCCUAGCUCUCUAUUAGUUUCCACCAUCAAUUUUUUGCAAUAAAGUCAAGUCAUUCCUAACCCCUAUAUUAAUUUGGCCUUAAAAGUCCAGUCAUUGAUAGCUACAUUCAUGAAUCCCAACCCAAGUAAAAAAUAAAUUGAACCCAUUUUCUAAGUUCAACUUUGAAUUUUUUUUAAUUGGGAAAAUGUAUAUAAAUUCAAUUAAAUUAGAAUAGUAGAUUAGGUUUGUAGGUGGAGUCUGCUUGAAUUUGUGAAACUUCCAAGUGGUCGUGGGUCUAGUGGUCCCAUAGCUCUCUAUUAAUUUCCACCAUCAAUUUUCUGCAAUAAAGUCAAGUCAUUCAUAACCCCUAUAUUAAGUUGGCCUUAAAAGUCAAGUCAUUGAUCAUAGUUACAUUCAUGAAUCACAACCCAAGUCGAAAAUAAAUUGAACCCAUUUUCCAAGUUCAACUUUGAAUUUUUUACUAGUGAAUGCAAAUUGGGAAAACAUAUAUAAGUAUAAUUAAACUAAAAUAGUAGAUUAGGUUUGUAGGUGGAGUCUGCUUGAAUUGUUGAAACUUCCAAGUCAUCGUGGGCCCAGUGGUCCCAUAGCUCUCUAUUAAUUUCCACCAUCAAUUUUUUGCAAUAAAGUCAAGUCAUUCCUAACCCCUAUAUUAAUUUGGCCUUAAAAGUCCAGUCAUUGAUAGCUAAAUCCCAACCCAAGUCAAAAAUAAAUUGAACCCAUUUUCUAAGUUCAACUUUGAAUUUUUUUUAAUUGGGAAAAUGUAUAUAAAUACAAUUAAACUAGAAUAGUAGAUUAGGUUUGUAGGUGGAGUCUGCUUGAAUUUGUGAAACUUCCAAGUGGUCGUGGGUCUAGUGGUCCCAUAGCUCUCUAUUAAUUUCCACCAUCAAUUUUCUGCAAUAAAGUCAAGUCAUUCAUAACCCCUAUAUUAAGUUGGCCUUAAAAGUCAAGUCAUUGAUCAUAGUUACAUUCAUGAAUCACAACCCAAGUCGAAAAUAAAUUGAACCCAUUUUCCAAGUUCAACUUUGAAUUUUUUACAAGUGAAUCCAAAUUGGGAAAACAUAUAUAAGUAUAAUUAAACUAAAAUAGUAGAUUAGGUUUGUAGGUGGAGUCUGCUUGAAUUGUUGAAACUUCCAAGUCAUCGUGGGCCCAGUGGUCCCAUAGCUCUCUAUUAAUUUCCACCAUCAAUUUUUUGCAAUAAAGUCAAGUCAUUCCUAACCCCUAUAUUAAUUUGGCCUUAAAAGUCCAGUCAUUGAUAGCUAAAUCCCAACCCAAGUCAAAAAUAAAUUGAACCCAUUUUCUAAGUUCAACUUUGAAUUUUUUUAAUUGGAAAAAUGUAUAUAAAUACAAUUAUACUAGAAUAGUAGAUUAGGUUUGUAGGUGGAGUUUGCAUGAAUUUGUGAAACUUCCAAGUGGUCGUGGGUCUAGUGGUCCCAUAGCUCUCUAUUAAUUUCCACCAUCAAUUUUCUGCAAUAAAGUCAAGUCAUUUCUAACCCCUAUAUUAAGUUGGCCUUAAAAGUCAAGUCAUUGAUCAUAGUUACAUUCAUGAAUCACAACCCAAGUCGAAAAUAAAUUGAACCCAUUUUCCAAGUUCAACUUUGAAUUUUUUUACUAGUGAAUGCAAAUUGGGAAAACAUAUAUAAAUAUAAUUAAACUAAAAUAGUAGAUUAGGUUUGUAGGUGGAGUCUGCUUGAAUUGUUGAAACUUCCAAGUCAUCGUGGGCCCAGUGGUCCCAUAGCUCUCUAUUAAUGUCCACCAUCAAUUUUUUGCAAUAAAGUCAAGUCAUUCCUAACCCUUAUAUUAAUUUGGCCUUAAAAGUCCAGUCAUUGAUAGCUAAAUCCCAACCCAAGUCAAAAAUAAAUUGAACCCAUUUUCUAAGUUCAACUUUGAAUUUUUUUAAUUGGAAAAAUGUAUAUAAAUAAAAUUAAACUAGAAUAGUAGAUUAGGUUUGUAGGUGAAGUCUGCUUGAAUUUGUGAAACUUCCAAGUCGUCGUGGGUCUAAUGGUCCCAUAGCUCUUUAUUAAUUUCCACCAUCAAUUUUCUACAAUAAAGUCAAGCCAUUCCUAAACCCUAUAUUAAUUUGGCCUUAAAAGUCAAGUCAUUGAUAGUUAUGUUCAUGAAUCACAACCCAAGUCUAAAAUAAAUUGAACCCAUUUUCCAAGUUCAACUUUGAUUUUUUUACUAGUGAAUGCAAAUUGGGAAAACAUAUAUAAAUAUAGUUAAACUAAAAUAGUAUAUUAGGUUUGUAGGUGGAGUAAGCUUGAAUUAUUGAAACUUCCAAGUCGUCGUGGGUCUAAGGGUCCCAUAGCUUUCUAUUAAUUUCCAUCAUCAAUUUUUAUAUAUUAAGAUUUAAAAGUGAGAAGGGAAUAAAUUUUUUCUUUUUCAAUUCAUUACAAAAAAUAUUUUUGGUUUUUAUGCUAAAAUUUAUUGUUUAAUCAAAAAAUUAAAGUAUAAAAAUAUAAAAAUAUAUAUAUAUAUCUUGCUAUUAUAGAAGAGCUCCAAAAUUUUCGUGUUUAAGAGAAUAUGUGUUGCCACUUUAGAAGAUAUAUAUACAAAAAGGAUUGAUGUUUCUCCUUUGACUAUGUUUGGUUCCCAUAAAUUUGAGGGAAAGAAAAUAAAUAAAAAAAUAGUAAAAAAGAAAAAAUGAAGGAAAAUAAAAAAUAGUUUUAAAGUUAAUAAAUUAUUUUUAUAUGCUUUUUCAAACUUAUUCUACUUAUUUUCUUUCAUUAUAUAAAGAUCAAAUAAUUUUAAAAUGCAUAAAUUUCUAACUAAUUUUAAUUAUAUUUAAUUUUUCUUUUAUAUUUUUUAGACGGGAUCCAACACAUGAAAAAAUCCAUUUUUUAGCAUCUUUUUUUCUUUUCUUAUUACUUUCCAAUAACCAUAUAUAACCUUUAGAUUUAGCCUUUAGACUUGGAGUAUGGAAGGAUACUGAGUAUUGAAAGAAGGUUUUGUAUAUGGCCAUGAUACCAUAGAAAAAAUAUGCGAGAGAGAAAAAACCUUUAUUAAAUGAUAAAUUAUUUUUUUCAAUGGAAAUCAAAUAUAAUUAUUUUUAUAAUAAUUACUUUAUUUUUUUAAAAAAAUAAUAAAAAAAAAAAUAAUUUGUUGUUGCAUAAAGUAUUCUUGCAUUUGGAGAAGCAUGUUACUACUUACUACAUAAAUAGAUAUUCAUGGAGUGCAUUCUAUAAAAAGCUCCAGUCUCAUGAAAAUAGAAAGAUGGACCGGCCGGUGAACCGGUUCGAGUUUGGAUUUAUGGGCUGCCUCAGCCUUACACGCAUGAUAGGCUGUUGCAGGUGAAGAACUAAUUAAUUUAAAGCGUUCUUCUAUCCUCUCCUAUUCCUCAGUGUAUUUAAACUAAACAUUAGGAAGGGUGACUGAAAUUAACCCUCUAGGUAUAUAUGUUUACCAAAAUUUUUAUUGUUUAUUUUUCAUUUAAUGUUUGCAUUUAAACAUUGAAAAUGAAUUGUUUUUCCAUAUGUUAACAAAAAGAAAUUUGAACACCUAUAAAAAUGAAAUCUUGUAGUAAAAUUGGAGUUACAUUAUCAGACUUUUAACGAGUGUUUAUGUUUAGAAAGGCCAAUUAAAGCAAGCAUGCAUCUAGAAAUUGUAACUUAGAUGCAUCAAACAUGAGCAACAUAUUUGAUAUAACUAAUAGUUUCUUAAGUAACUAAACACUUCUUUUUCUAUAAAUUUACUUGAUUAUCGAUGAAUACUUACAUAUAUUUACAUAGUUUGAUAAAUAUUUUAAAAUAAUAUUAGAAUAACUUUGUUUUUUCUCAAUUAUAUUAGAAAAUAAUAUAAAGUUACUUAUAAACUUUAUAUCAUUUUCUCAAAGUCAAGUCAUUUACAAUUAUUUCUAUCUAGCCUUCUCCGUUAUGACAACUUUUAUAUGAUAGUCGUUGAUUGGAAGAAUCUACACGUCUUUUUUGAUAGGAUAGUUGUUUUUAUUUUUUUUAUUUUUUUUAUUUUUUUUAUUCCAAAAAUUUGCUUCUAUCAUUGAAACUUUCAAAUCUUUUAUAUAUAUUACCAAUCAUUUUACAAGUGAGUUAAUUUCACUUAGGGUAGAUAUACUUAGCCACAACCCUAUAGAUGUAAUUUGUGUUUAAAUUUUAUUUUUUAUUCAGGUAAAAAUAUCUUAGGUAUAUGUGUUCAACAAUUCUCUAAAAAAUAAAUUUUCUUAUCUAAAAGUUUAUAUAGACAAAAUAUAUCUAUAGAAGUCCUAACUAAUGAAAUUUAAAAUCAAUGGUUGUUUAGUGUAUUUACAUUAAACCUUAUGGGGUAUGAUUGAAAUUAACUCUUUUACAAGCACUUGUAGCUUAUAUGUUUGAAGUUGUAGUGUUGGAAAUUGAUCAUUUUCUUGAAGGCCUCUAAGAUAUUGGAAAUAUUGCCAUAGUUUUAGACUUUUUUUUAUUACACCUAAUAAAAAAUAUUAUUAAUUUAACAUAUAUAUUCUUGACUUAAAAGUAAAGUCUCUCCAUAUUGUAUGAGCCCUUGGGUGACAAUAUUAGGUGAAGUUUUUCUUUCGUUUAUUAAAAAAUAUAAUAAUUUAUUAUUGUAUGAUAAAAUUUUAUGUAAUAUAUUUUUAUAGAUGUAAAAUUAUUAAUUGGGUUUUAUUUUAUUUUUACUAAAUUGUCAUUUCAAUAUAUAAAACUUAUUUGUAAAAAGACAAUUAUAAACUAUAUGAAAUUGAAAAACAUUUAGUUUUUUUAUUUAAUUUAGAAUUUUAUUUGGAUUAAUAAUUGAUAUUUGUAAGAUUUUUUAAUAUUUAAAAAAGUUAGCAUACUUAAGAAAGAUAUUCAAGAUCGGGAGUGUUUGAUAUUGGAUUAAUUUCCUUAUUUUCUCUAUUUUAAUAAAUUUUCACGUUCAUUACAAAAUUUUUGUUGUUUAUUUUUCACUUCAAUAUUUUUAUUUUGUAAUAGACAUUUGAAAAGAUUUUUUCCUACAUGUAAAAAAAAAAAAUUUGAACACUCCUAAAAAAGAAAUAUUGUAAUAAAAUUAAAGUUUACACUGUAGGACUAUUAGCAAGUGCUAUAUACAUAAAAUAGACCAAUUAAAGUAGAAAUACUUCUAAAAUUGUAAUUUAGGUAACAAUAAUAUAAAAAGAUAAUAUUUUUGAAACAAUAGUUCUCUUGGAGUUUUGGGUACGAUGGACUAGACUUUAUGUAACAACAGAUAUCCGAACUUUCCAUUAACAUCUUAAGAGACAUGAUGAGGAGCAAAGUCAUCCUAGAAGGUACCAUAGAGGUACCUUAGCUCCAUUCAUCUAGACUACAUAAUGUUUAAAGAUCAAAUUCAAUGACUAGCUAGAAGGUACCAUAGAGGUACCUUAGCUCCAUUCAUCUAGACUACAUAAUGUUUAAAAAUCAAAGUCAAUGACUAGAUUUCAAAAAUCAAUAUAAGCUUUCUCAUAUUCUACUCUAUAUAAGGCAAUGGUAUGAUACCUCUCUUGUGUCAUAGAAUACACCAUGAAAACCUUAUCAUUUUGACAUCAGUUUGAAACUUAAAAGUCACUUAGCACAUUCUAGUUAUUAAUUUAAGAGCAUUAAAAGAAAAUAUAAAAAAAGUUACUUUAUCCUUGUGAUUUUGAUCUAGGACUUUUAAUGAUAUUUAAAAAAAAAAACAAAACAGAAAAAUAAAUGGAAAUAAAAUCAACAAAUUAAACAAUUGAAUUAGGUUAGUUUAGUUUUUGUAUCAUUAAAUAGGUAAAUAUGUGUGCAUGUUCCCACAACUCAUUAGCUACUCAUAAGCUUUAUAUCACUUUCUCAAAGUCAAGUCAUUUUGUAAUUAUUUCUAUCUAGCCUUCUCCAUUACGACAACUGUAUAAGAUAUUGAUUGGUUGGAAAAAUCUUCAUGUCUUUUUUUAUAAGAUAGUUUUAUUAUUAUUAUUAUUAUUCAAAGAAUUUGCUUUUAUUAUUACUUUCAAAUCCUUUAUGUCUAGUGGUCCUACAAUUCCCUAUUCAUUGGUAUUUCAUAUUACCAAUCAUUUUACAAAUAAGUUUAUUUCACUCAGUAAAUAUACUUAACUACUAAUGGUUUCAAAUUUAAUUGAUUAACACACUUAUAGAUGUAAUUUGUUUUUAAAUUUUAUUUUUUUAGAAGAAUUGUAGGUAAAAAUAUUUUAGGAAUAUGUGUUCAAUAAUUCUCUAAAAACAAUUUAUAUAGAUGGAAUACAUUCAUGGAAGUUCCAACUAAUGAAAUUUAAAACCAAUGACGAUUUAAUGUAUUUGCACUAAAUCUUAGGCGAGGUGUACUAAAACUAGCCCUUUUACAAAUAUUUGUAGCUAGUAUAUUUGUAGUUAUAGUGUUGGAAGUUGAUCGUUUUCUUAAAGGCCUCUAUGAUAUUAGAAAUAUCGCCAAAGUUUUGAACUUUUUGUUUCACCUAAAAAAAAUAUCAUUAAUUUAAUAUAUAUACUCUUCGCUUGAAAGUAUAGUUUCUUCAUAUUGUAUGAAGUUGUAGCUAGGUGACAAUAUUAGGUGAAUUUUUUUUGGUUUACUAAAAAAUAUAAAUAAUAUAUUUAUUAUAUGAUAAAAUUUUGUAAAAUAUAUUAUUAUAGAUGCAAAAUUAUUAAUGGAGUUUUAUUUUUUUACUAAAUUAUCAUUUCAAUAAAUAAGAACUUAUUUGUUAAAAGAAAAUUAUAAAAUAUAUGCAGUUGAAAAAAAUUUAAUUUUUUUAUUUAAUUUGGUAUUUUAUUUGAAUUAAUAAUUGAUAUUUGUAAGAUAUUUUAAUAUUAAAAGAAGUUAACAUAUUUAAAAAAGACAUUCAAAAUCAAGAGAGUAUUUGAUAUGAAAUCAAUUAAUUUAUUUUUUCUAUUUAAAUAAAUUUUUACAUCCAUUAAAAAAAUUUUAUUGUUUAUUUUUCAAUUCAAUAUUUUUAUUUUGUAAAAGAAAUAGAAAUAAAAUCAACAAAUUAAACAAUUGAAUUAAGUUAGUUUAAUUUUGCCACCGUUAGGUAAAUGAAGACUCUUAUAUUUGAUAUUAACAUGAACAUCAUGACUUCAUUGAAUCUCACAAGAAAAUUUUAGUUUGAAAGAUUUUAUCCUUUAAUCAUGUGGCACAUAUUAAAGUGAGACCAAGUCUUCCCUAUAAUUUGUAUCUAUCACAAUUUCUUUCCUAAUGAAUAGCCUUUUUGAAUAGAAUAUAGACUUUAGCAUGCAUGGUGGGGCCUAGCUAUCAAACUACUAGUCAAAACAACUCAUGGGCAAGAAUGAUGUACCAACUAGAUUAAGUAUUCUCCAUCUAUUUGCAUAUCAAGAGUAAUUUAGUAGUAUCUUUCUUGUGUACCUCAUUUCUAGACUUUCAAUGGAGAGUUAUUUAUCUUAAAAUUUGACGUGGGUUUUCAUACAAGUCUUGGUUCAGAUAUGUGAAUGCAAAGGUUGCAUCGAAGAAGAGAAGUAGGCUAAGUCAUCUUACAAAUUUUCAAGUUCAAAUUAGAUGCAUCAAACAUGUGCAACAUAUUUGAUAUAACUAAUAUUUUACCAAGCAACUAAAUACUUUAUAUAUAUAAAUAAACAAAAUAAAAAAUUUAAAAAGAAUAUAUAUAUUAGUGGUCCCACAACUCAUUAGCUACUCAUAAGCUUUAUAUCAUUUUCUUAAAGUCAAGUCAUUUACAAUUAUUUCUAUCUAGCCUUCUCCGUUGCGACAACUAUACAAGAUAUUAAUUGAUUGAAAAAAUCAUGUCUUUUUUGAUAGGAUAGUUUUUUUUUAUUCAAAGAACUUUCAAAUCCUUUAUGUCUAGUGGUCCUACAAUUCCCUAUUCAUUGGUAUUUCAUAUUACCAAUCAUUUUACAAAUAAGUUAAUUUCACUCGGUAAAUAUACUUAACCACCAAUGGUUUCCAAUUUGUAGCACUCUUAUAGAUGUAGUUUGUUUUUAAAUUUUAUUUUUGAGAAGAAUUGUAGGUAAAAAUAUUUUAGCUAUAUAUGUUCAACAAUUCUCUAAAAACAAUUUAUAUAAAUGAAAUACGUUCAUGGAAGUUCCAACUAAUGAAAUUUAAAACCAAUGAUGAUUUAAUGUAUUUGUACUAAAUCUUAGGGAGUGUGGACUAAAAUUAGCCCUUUUACAAAUAUUUAUAACUAGUAUAUUUGUAGUUGUGGUAUUGGAAGUUGAUCAUUUUCUUAAAAGGUUUACCAUUGAAGUUAGUUGAAUAUAAAGUUAGGUGAACUUUACCAUUGUUAAAUUGGUAAAUGAAGACUCUUAGAUUUGAUACUAACAUGUACAUCAUGACUUCAUUGAAUCUCUCACAAGGAAAUUUUAGUUUGAAAGACUUCAUCUUUUAAACAUGUGGCACAUAUUAAAGUGAGACCAAGUCUUCCCUAUAAUUUGUAUCUAUCACAAUUUCUUUCCUCAUAAAUAGCCUUUUUGAAUAGAAUUAAUAUAGACUUUAGCAUGCAAGAUGGGCCCUGUCAAACUACUAGUCAAGAUAAUUUGUAGGUAAGAACGAUGGACCAACUAUAUUAAAUACUCUUCGUCUAUUUUCAUAUCAAGAGCAACUUAAUAUUGUCUUUCUUUUGUACUUCAUGUUUGAACUUUCAAUGGAGAGUUUGUCAUCUAAAUAUUUGAUGUGGGUUUUUAUACUACUCUUGGUUCAAAUAUGUGGAUGCAAAGGUUGCAUCGAAGAAGAGAAGAUGGGUUUGCUUGAAUUCAAGGCUUUUCUUGAAUUGAAUAAUGAGCAUGCAGAUUUUCUUCUCCCUUCAUGGAUAGAUAACAACACUAGUGAAUGUUGUAAUUGGGAGCGGGUUAUUUGCAAUCCCACCACAGGUCGAGUUAAGAAGCUUUUCCUCAAUGAUAUAACGCGACAACAAAAUUUCUUGGAAGACGAUUGGUACGAUUAUGAAAAUGUUAAAUUUUGGUUACUAAAUGUCUCCCUAUUCCUUCCUUUUGAAGAACUUCACCAUCUAAACUUGUCUGCAAACUCAUUUGAUGGGUUUAUUGAGAAUGAAGGUAUGUUACUUCUCACCUUUAAAAUUUCUUUUCACUUAUACUCCAAACAUUCUAAAGGAACUACUAGCAUAUGUUCUUAAAAGUGUUCAGGUGGAGACCAAAUGGUCACUAGUAACUAUUGAAUUUAAUAUAAGAACAAUUACAUAUUAUUAAAAUUUAUAAUGUAAAUUAACAUUUAAACAGAACAAUAAAAAAAUUAUUAUUUUAGAAAACUAUAGAUUACAUUAGCCUUAUAUAUAUAAGCAUACUUUUUAUUUAUGCCAUCAUUUCACACUCAACCCAAUAAGUGGGAUUCAACUAAGAGUGAGCAAUUUCACAAUUAUUAAUUAACAGGAACACUUAGGCUCCCAUAUCCUUAUCCUUUUUGCUGAAUUGUCUUUCUUUAUCUUCCAUUCCUAAAAAGCUUGAUUUCUAUAUUCCAAAUUGAUAGAGAUUGGUUAAAGAAAGGUGAUCACAAAAUUUGACUAUUGCUUUCAAAUGAGGAAUCACCAUCUUCAAAAUUUCACAUUUACAAAAAAAAAAAAAAAAAAAAACUAGCCUCGGGUAAGGUCCAAGCCUUAUUGUUUUAAGCUGAUGUCGGGUUGGUUUAAUAAUGAACAGAGUAAAUCCUAACCCAUGACCAUCUACGCAUUUCCAAAUUCCACCCAUCCACAACCCAUUAAUAUGACAUUUUCAGGGACAAAAUUUAAUCAAUUAAACCUAUUAGAUGGAUUCUCCAUACAAUGUUAAAAUGAAUAUAAAAACUUUAAUUCAAAAAAUAAUUUCCUUUAUUUAGUUAGGAUUCAAAUUAUAGGGGCACAAAACAUGAAAAUUUUCAUGUUUAAAAUUCACAAAGAUCACAAAAGCUCUUUGAAGCUCUAUGGACUAUUUUAUUUCUAACAGUUAAACACAAAAAUCACCAAAUUGAAUUAGAAACUUGGAUGCAUAUUCUUAUAUUAAAGACAUGUAAGCUUACAUAUUUAAAUAUGAAGAUCUCAACUUGUAAUUACAUGCUUCUAAUUAAAGUUAUAUUACUCUAUUUUACAGGAUUUAAAGGGUUAUCAAGUUUAAAGAAAUUGGAGAUCUUGGACAUAAGUGGUAAUGAGUUUGACAAAAGUGCCUUAAAAUCUUUGGGCACAAUAACAUCACUCAAGACAUUGGCUAUUUGCAGCAUGGGACUGUAUGGAUCUUUUUCCAUUCGAGGCAUGUUAUAUGUCCACAUUGUUUCUUUGAAAUUAAGUAAAAUAUAUUUCUAACUUUUAAUGUUCCUUAGUUAAUCUCUCUUUUGAUUCAUGUUUGUUGCAGAAUUAGCUAGUUUGAGAAAUUUGGAAGGGUUGGAUCUAAGCUAUAAUGAUUUGGAAAGCUUUCAACUAUUGCAAGGUACUUCAUUAACUUGCUAAAAAAACUUAUAAUAUUUUGUUAUUAAAUUAAAGGUAAGAUUAACAAACAAUUUCUUCCCAUUAGUUACUUUUCUUUGUAAUAUCAUUAAAUUUGAUAUAAAGUAGUCUAAAUCAUCCUUUCAAUUUAUAAGUUUUAAUUAAAACGCAUCAAGCAUGCACAAGAUGUUUAAUAUAACUAAUAUUUUCAUAAGUAAUUGAAUUUUUUUUAUGAAUUAAUUAACUUGAUUAUCAAUAAAUACUUACAUGUAUAAGAUUAAUAUAGUUUCAUAAGUAUUUUAAAAUUGUCUUACAACACACACACACACACACAGGGAAAAUGAAAGGUAUGUGAUACCUUUAUGCUAUGUUUGGUUCCCAAAAAAAUUGAGGGAAAAUGAAAGGAGAAAAAAGUAGAGAGGAAAAAUAAAAGAAAAGAAAAAAAGUGAAGAAAAAUAUAAAAUUGAUUAAAGUAAAUACAUUAUUUUUAUAUGUUACUUUAAACUUGUUUCACUUAUUUUAAUUCUUCAAUGUAAAGAUGAAAGAUUUGAAAAUGCAAAAGUUUCUAAUUAUUUUUUAUUAUAUUUUAUUUUAUUUUAUAGUUUUUACAAUACAACCAAACAUAAUAAAAUCAUUUUCUUUAAUUUUUUUUUUCUUUUCUUAAUACUUUUCACGAACCCUUAAGUUAUGUUUGGUUUGCAGAAAAUAUGAGGAAUAGAAAAUAGAAAAGAAAAUUAGAAGGAAAGAAAAAAUGAAGUAAAAUAAAAAUAAAUUUAAAUUUAAUAAAUUAUUUUUAUAUGCUACUUUAAACUUAUUUCACUUAUUUUAAAUUAUUUAAACUCAUUUCUAAUAAAUAAUAAUGGAAAUUGUAGAGAAGUUUGUGUUAUUCAAGCUUUGCAAUGACUUUUCAAGGUGAAGGAAAAUAUUCUUGCUGAAAUUGAAAAAGGAAAUACCUUCUUAAAUAGCCUAUUGACCGAAAACACAUUGCCCUAACAUAUACACACACCUUUAUUAUUUAUACAAUCAUGUAAUACUUAAUCCAGUUAGUGGGAUUCUAGUGGUUGUUUCUAUCUUGGUUUCCAAUAUUUCUGAUUGAUAGUGUUCGAUUAAUGAAAUAUCAUAAAUUUUGACUCUAAUAAGGACCAAUCCUUAUUAAAUGUAAUUGGGUUGACCCAAGACUAAAUGUUAGACCCAACUAAUAAAAACCCAUCUGUUUGUUGGAGUCUAAAUAACCCGGCCUUAGGUAGGGCCCAUGCCUUAUUAUUUUAAGAUGUAGUCCAACUGGUUUGACACUAGAUUGAGUAAAGCCCAACUUUUGAGCUUUUGUGCAUUUCCAUCCAUCCACAACCUAUUGGCAUGGGCAAACUUUGGUCAAUUAAACCUAUUAUAACUGUAUACAAAAUUUUAAGUUCAAAAGAUAAUUUUCCUUAUUUAGUUAGGAUUCAUAUUAAAAAGGCACAAAGCACGAAUUUUCAUGUUUAAAUUCACAAAUAUCAUGAAAGCUCCUUCAAGCUCUAUGGACCAUUUUAUUUGUAACAUUAUUUUACUCUUAAUUAUCAAAUUAACCAACAAAUUCUUCUCAUUACUUAUUUUUCUUUUGUAAUGUCAUCAAAUUUGAUGUAAAGUAGUAUUGGUCAUCAUUUCAACUUUUAGGUUCCAAUUGGAUGCAUCAAGCAUGUGCAACAUAUUUGAUAUAACUAAUAUUUUUAUAAGUAAUUGAAUUUUUUUUUCUAUAAAUCAAUUAACUUGAUUAUCAAUGAAUACUUUCAUACAUGAUAUUGAUGUAGUUUCAUAAAUAUUUUAAAAUAGUCAUAGAAGUCUUUUAUCUGAUUCACUAGAAAGAAAAAUAAAUUAAACUAUUCUAAUGAAAAUACUUGAUGAUUUGAAGUGAUUGCUUUUGAUUUUAUUUGAUUGCUACCAUUAUUAAUUGUUAGAAAUUGGCAACAAAUACCCAUUUUGCAUCACUUCUAUAUGCAUAGGGGGAAUGAAUUAUAUUUCAUAGAGCUAACAGGGCAAAACUCAUACUUUUGGAAUUAUGGAAAAGGUUGCUAGAAAGCUAAUUAACCAUUUAUAUUAUGAUUAAGACUAGUUGGGUUAGAAAUAAUUCAUAUGGAGAUUAAAAAAAACUAUGUAAUUUAGUUUAGUAGCAAGGGUGCUAUUGUAAUGAUUAAUGAUCUGCAACUUGAACACAUCUACUAGUGUUUUCUACUUGUAUAGCUAAAUUUAUGUUACCACUUUGAACUACAGUACUUACAUGAGAAGAAAGCUAUUCUUUAGUGAUAAUGCAAAAGAAAUUAACUAUCAGUUUUUGUUAAACUAACAAGUGAUAGUUUAGAUAUGGUUUGAAUACACUUCCUUUCUUCUAUUUUUUUAUUUUGAAAAAAAAAACUCUUUAAUGAAAUAUAAGAAAUCUUAUAUGUAUAAAAAGUAAAGACUUAAACAAAAAAAUUCUUCAAAUUUGAAAAUUUUCGAGAAGUAUUUUUAAGAAUUUGUAUUUUUAGUAUAAUAAUUCCUAUAUUUUGUAUAAAAGUUUUUGUUUAAAAAAAUAGAAGUGUAUCCAAAUUACAAAUUAAUUGUUAAAUUAAGAAUGUUUCUCAGAUCAAGAGAUAAUGAAAGUUGUAGAGAGUUUGCAUUACUCAACCUUUGCAAUUACUUUUUGAAGAUAAAAGAAAAUACCUUCCUACAUAACAUAAAAUGACAGGUUCUGGUUUGUAAGAAACAAAUAAAUGAUUGAGGAUAUGAAUAAGACUUCCUUUAUAAUAGAUAUGUAGAGAAGAAUAGUCGAUGAUAGGAGGUGAAAAUCUUGUAAUAAAAUAUCAAUAUCGGUUAUAAGAUAAUCAACAUUUUCUCUAUUUCUUGUACCUAUGUGAUUAAGAAUCUUGUAGCUCCCUUAUUGAAAUAUAAUAUAAAAAUAUAAAUAAACUAUUUAGAAGUGCAUGUAGUUUUCAACAUGAGGAAGUUCAAAAGCAAGUUAAUUAUGAUAAUUUUCUGUUGUCUAUAUUGAGCACAAAUUAUUUUUGCUAAAGGUUCAAUUGUUCUAUGAAGGUUAAAAGUUUGAAUUGUUUACAUAUGCAAAUGUGAAAUUUGAAAUUUUAUAAUUUUUUAUAAUUUUCUUGUAGAUUCAAAAAGCUUGUCCAUAUUCAAAAAGCUCGAGACCUUGAACCUCAAUUACAACAAGUUCAAAAACACUAGCCUACAACAAUUGAAUAUAUUUACAUCCCUUAAAAAUCUUUCUCUAAGAGGGAACUAUGUUGGAGGAUUUUUUCCGAUCCAAGGUAUGUGUAAUUAUUAUUAUUACUUUUAAUGAUAAAAUAUUAUAAUUGCCAACAUCUUUUAUCUUUUUUCCCCUCAAUGGUGUUGCAGAAUUAUGCACUCUAGAAAACUUGGUGAUGUUGGACCUAAGGGGGAAUUUCUUUAUUGGCAUGCAAGGUAAAUACAAAGUGAAGUUUUGGUUAUAUAUAUAUCAUGUAAGAACAUAACUAAAAUCAACAUUCUUUGCCUAUCAAUUUGUGCAUGACUAUUAUUUAGUUAUUCUUCGUAACAUAAUUGAAAGAAUGUCUAGGUGUACAACAUUUAAGAAUUUUACAUGGCACAAUGAAAAACAUGGUAAUCAAUGUAUGCAAUAAAAUUCUAAUAGUUGAAAAAGAAUUUUCUUGUAAUUUUAUGUUUGUGUAUAGUAAUCAAAGAGAAAAUCAUGAAAAUCUAUAUUAGUUAGACUUUAUAUAUCAAUAGACAAAAAAGAAAGAAAAAAAAAAGAUUAGUUCCUUAACUUAUCCUAAAAUUUUCUAGAUAACAAGGAGUUUUUUAUUUUGGGCUAUAAGGUUUACAACCUGAAAAGUGAAGAUGAUUAAUAUUAGUAAUAUAAUUUUGAAAUAUAAAAAUUAAUGAAAUAAUGUUCUCUAUAACUAUAAUUGCAACUGCAACUAUUAAUAAAAGAUAAUAAAAGUACUUUAGGCUUUGAAUCCAUGGUUAGGUUUGCAAUUUUUUGAUGAUCAAUAAAGCUACAACUUAUGCUGCAAAAGGCUAUACAAAAUGUAUUAGGAGCAUUGCUAAGCUCAUUUAUCAAUAAAAGAAAUCCAGUAAUACUUUGAUUGGAAAAAACCUAGAAUCAUGUUUGAUAUAUUAAUAGGUGAAGAAACAAAAUAACAAUUCCAUGGUAUUAGUUAGUUUGAUAUCUCUUUUGUUAUAUGGAAUAAUUAUUCCAUUUUAAAAUAAUUAUUUCAUCUUAUCGCUAGAACAAAAAAUUUCAGGCGGUUAUAUGGGCUUUUGGGUUUCUUAAGAAUUUAAGCAUUUAUGGGUCACCCAUAUAUAUAUAGGAAGAAUAAAAAAAAUAUUCUAUGGAGACAAGGGUAGACACCCAUAAAUGUACAUAUAAUUAUUUAAAUAAAAAUAUCAAUAAGAAACAAUAUACAACAAAAUAGAAAAUUUUAAUCUUCUUAAAUUUUUUAAAAUAAAAACUAAAUGAAAAAAAAAUUAAGAAGUAAAAAUAAUAAUAAAAAGGUCAAGAAUACAAAUAGAGAAGUAAACAAAAUACAAAAAAAUACAUAAAUUAAAAUUAAAAUUUUUAAAAAAAUACAUAGAUUAAUAUGAACACCAAAUGAGGUUUUUUGAGAUAGACUUAGUUAGACUUGAAUUAGAUGGAUAUUAAAAAAAAUUAAAAAAAAAAAUCAAAGAAAUAAAAACUAAUUAGAUGCUAAAUAUUGGAUUAAAAUAACCAAAUGAAUAAAGAGUAAUUAUUAAUUUUUAACAUUUUUUAUUCCCUGGAAUUAUUAUUUUGUGUAUUAAAUGUAUUCUGAGUGUAGUGGUAUAAAAAAUGUAGUUAAGAAUACUAUGAAGAAUAAUAAUAGUGAUGAUAACGGUGACGGCACUUAAUACCUUUUAUUGUACAUUUAGAAAAAAAUGAGGUUCUUGAUCUUUAUGGAGAUUAUCAUUACUCAUCCGCAAGCAUGUUGAUAGUUGAAACUACUUAAUUAUCAAAAAUUGAAUUUCUAACCUUCAAUUUUUCUCUCUCAAAUGUAUAUGUGGGUGAGAAAGCACUAGGAAGAUUAUAAGGUCUCACAUGUAUAUGAGUCAUAGGAUAAAAAAUAUAGAGACAAUACUAGCAUUUAUUUGAUCUAGUGGCAAAUAGAGAAAUAUAACAUAACCAUAACCAUAAUGUUCUAACCUUAUAUAUACCAGAACCAUGUUUCCUUCAUUCAAUUUUGCAACUUUUUCUUUUCAAAUUAGAAUGUAACUCGUAGGAUCCAUUGCCCAUCAAAAUUUUGAAUCAAAUAUUAUAAGAUAUUUCACAUUUCUACCUACUAAAGCAUGAGCUUCAAUGUUCUCAUGCACUUUUGGCUACUAAGUUAAAGAAAUCUUUGAGGAUUAAUGGAGUUUCUAUGAGUAGCAAAGCAUUAUAAUCACAAAGUCUUAUCAGUGAUAUGCAAUUUGACCAAGAACUUAUUCCCGACUAUUUUAUGACUUUUAUGACUUUUCUUGGCUACUUGUAGGCAAGCUAAAGAAAUUUUCUGGUUUGUUCAAGUCUAAAAAGUGGUUUCAAGUUUAGGGCCAAGCUUGGGCUGCACCUAGGUCCUUGGGCCUUGUUCAGCUCCACGUUUAAACCAACCUUGAGUCCAUCUUUGUAAUUUUUCUCCCAAUUCAUUGAUUAAUAUUAGGAUUUUAUAGAGCCUAUAAAUUGACCAACUAAAUAAAGUAGGUUCAUAAACUUUUAGGUGAAAAUUUUCUCUCUAAUAAAUGUUAAUUCAAGAGUCUCUGUAAUAUUUUUAUAUUCAUAUUAAUUGGUAUUUAAACCGGCCUUACUAUAUUAAAUUCAAAUACCAAAUAGUGAAUACUAUAUCUGCUACUACCACUAUGAUGGUCAUAAACAUAGAAUGCUCCUUUUUUUAGAGUCAAUUGAUGCUUAUAAACAACUUUGUUUGAAAAUAAAAUACAUCGAGUGAUUGCAUCAAGAGAUUGAUGUAAUAAUUGCAUACUUGAUCUUGAUAAUGCUAAUAUGAGUUGACUAAAUAAAUGAGUAUUUACUUAUAAGGUAGCCCAUAGAACAUUAUUUGUGGAAAUAUUCAUGCACCUCUACAUAUGUUCGUGAUAACUUAGGUUGAUAAAUUUAAGAAGAACAAAUUCAUAACCUUGGGCAUAGUUAGUAAGAAAUUUCACCAAUAGAGUUUGGUAUCAUGAUUCUAAUUGUUCAAAUUGUUUUAAAGGAGUAUUUUAAAUUGCAUGUUAAUUUGCUUCUAAUAAAUGGAGAGAAACCAAUUCAAGAAGAGAAUUGUACUCAAGCUAUGUAUAGCAUUCAUGAAGAUGUAGAAAAUAUUGAUGAACUUACUUUUGAGCAAGUUGAAAUCAUAAUUAAAUAAAAGAACAAACCCAAGGGUUAAGAUUGUCAAGUAAAACUUUAACUAAAAUUUAUUGAUUUUUUAAAUGCCUAUUAGAGGGACAAUAGAAGUUCUAGAUAGAAAGUAAGAACUUUUCUAAGGAAUCACUUGUUAGAUUUUAAGUGAUCAAUAAAUAUAAUGUCCAAUUUAAAACUUUUAUAAAAGCAAUACUUCUAAAGAAUAACUUGAUUUGAAUUUAAAGUUAUUAUUGAUAUUUGUUUAUAAUGGAUGUAGUUAAUCAACUGAACAUAGUAAAAAACACAUAAAUUUUUCAAAAUACCUUCUAGUUGUUGGGUAUAUUUAAGUAGUCAUCCAUAUCUCAUUAUCUUUUCACUCACAUACUAAUCUCCUUAUUGAGUAUUUACCAAUUACAAGUAGGUUGAAAGUUACUUGAAUUUAAGUCACUAAUCAAUGUUAACUUGAUAACAAAUAAGUCUCUCUUUGAAACUUGUUUUACAAGAUAGCGAAAUGUAGUUGAUCAAUCAUCAAAACAAUGUUUAAGCAUUAGGAUUUAGUUGUUAAUUUUUAUUUUUUAUUUUUUGUGCUUAAACAAAGACAAAAAUGAUAAAAACUCCUUAAAAGUACAUAGUAAUUGAAUUUAAUUUAUACAUCAAACAAGAACAAACUAGUCUUGGAUUUAAAAUUCAUCAGGUUUUGUAAUUAUAAUUCCUAAAAAUUUGUAAGGCAACAAAAUUAUUGGACACUAGGUUAUUGGGUGUGUAUGACUAAGAGGUGAAGGAGGGUUCAUCUUAUACAAAGGAUGAUUUGAUUAAUUUUAAAGAUUGGAUAAACAAUAAUUGCAUAUUCAAGUAAAAAUAACAUUGCUAAAAAGGAAAAUAAGUAUUUUAGUCCUCAAACCUAAAAUGGCUAAAAAAAUUUAAUUAAUACAAUACAACUUCACCUACAAAAGAAAAAAAAAACCCAAAACUUUUCAAUAGCACAACUAAGUCCAUUUAUCAAAAGCUCUAUGAACAACAACAACUAUCAAAUCACAUAAAUCAUGUUGUUUUCAAAGUGCCCUCGAUGUUUUAAAACUUAAGAUAUUACAUAAAAAUCAACCAAUAGUGUAUGACAUUAUAAAAAACAUAUCCAAAUCCAUUGUCGAACUUAAACUAAAUUCAACUUUAUAUGCAUAGUCGCAAGUGCGUCUUUUUGUCCUUCAAUUUGGGUCAAAUUCAGAUGUUAGUUUUUUACACGACAAGGGAUUAUCAAGAUGAUAAUUCAUGCAUAUAAAUAGUAUUACUAAUAUAAAAAAAGAUGGUAAAUGCAAUUUUUUUGUAUUCACUCACCAUUUGGCAUAUCAAUAAGAAAAAAAUAUAUAAUAGGUGUUAUCAAUAAUAUUACUCAUCACUAGAAAGUAUAAUUUUUCAUUUUUUGUCACUAUUUGUGCACUUUGGAAAGCUUGCUAGGUACAACAAAUUAGCUCAAUGAAGAAAUUGAUCAAUUCCUUCAUUUCUAAAUAAAUUUGCAUAUACACUAGAAUAAAAACAACUUUUUAACUUAACAAGUUGACUGAGUCUCAGAACUUAGUAGGUUGAAGACAUAAACUUCCAUCCAAACUCAUUUACUAGCACCACAUGUUGGAAAAAUAAAUAAAAAUCAAAACACCUGAGUAUAGUUGCAAACCAAUCUAAAUAUAGAGUGAAAUCUACCUUUCUUUGAAAGUUUAAAACAAAUUUUUAUUUUUAUGGUAAGACUAUGCAGUACUUAUCCCUCUCUUACAAGUCUAUAAUCAGUCCAAAGCAUGGGAUCUUGCAUAAAUUCUUGAACUCAAUUAGCCUUUAAUCGAUGCCUUUCAAGUAAAUGUAAAACCUGGUGUACUUGUUCUUGAUUCACAUCCUUGUCACUAUUAUCAUUACUUGUUCUUGAAUAUAGAACCUUAUUGUCUAUUAACAAGCAGACCUAUGUUCCUCCAUGAUUCAAGAGUAUUAUGUUUUGUUCAUCAUUAGUUGGUCUUGCUCUAAAGCUUCUUUUUUAUGACUAUCAAUAACCAAACUUAGAUACCAAAAUUUAUGCAAGAGAGCAUGUACUUUAUACAGUCAAGAACUUGUGAGUUUAGAUUUUGUUAUCUAGGUAAAAGAAUAAAUUGGUUUGUUAAAAUAGCUAGCAUUAGGUAUCUAUUCAAUUCCUAUCUUAGACAAUAAAGAUAGAAGUGAUCAAAUACAUUCUUAUUAAGAAACAUUUGAUACCAAAAGUGAUGUAAGACAACAUAGUUCCUCUAUUCAAUCAAGUUUAAGGCUUAGAUGAACCUAUGAAUUUAUAUUAAUUAAUUGGGAAAGAGAAUAAAUAGGCUAAGUAGAAGUGAUAGGAUUGUAAUAGCAUUAAGUUAAUGAUCUUGUUUAGGUCUUCUACUAAAUUAGAGAAGAAACAAACAAAAGUAAUCAAACGUGUUAGUGAUAAUUAUAUCUACUUAACAUUGAGACAAUAGUUGUACUAAUGGUAAUUAUAUUAUUUCUUGAGAGUUUAAACAAUAUAUAUUGAAAAUAUUUUUAAAGGUUUAGCAACUACCAAGGUUAUGAUCAACUACGAGCUUUUUAUUUUUAAAAAUAUGAAAUAUUAAUAUCUUUACUUUUUUUUAUCUUCUUGUAGGUUUUAAAAGUUUGCCUGAGCUGAAAAAGCUGGAAAUCUUAAACCUUCGUUAUAAUUGGUUCAACAAGACCAUUAUAAAACAGUUGAGUGGACUCACAUCCCUUAAAACACUAGUUGUAAGCAACAACCAUAUUGAGGGAUUUUUUCCUUCCCAAGGUAUUGCUUAUUCUUUUAAUAUCCUUAGUAACCACUCUACCAUGAUUUUUUUUUUUCAAUUUUUUUUUCUUACUUGAACCAUCUUAUAGAAUUAUCUAUUUUUGGAAACUUGAUGACACUGGAUUUAAGCUGGAAUAGAUUCAAUGGCUCCCUAUCAAUCCAAGGUAAAUUCUAAUCAGAAUUAUCAUUAUAUUUAGGGCAUAUAAUAAAUUAAUUAAAUUAUUUUAUCUAUUAUCAUUACUUGGUUAUUUGGAUUUUCUUGAUAUUGUUUAGCAUUUUACAUAGAAAAAUGAAAUGGAAAAAAUCAACUCAUGGUUAGUGUUUAAGCAUUGGGCUAGAAGUAUAUUUGUCUUCCCAAUUUAAUCAAAGAGAAAAGUUAUAAAUAACAUAAUUUAACUUAUACCUUAUAUUGAUUGAAGAGGUUAGACUACUUUUGGAUUUAAUGGUCAAUAUUUUUUGAAGAUAGGGUUUCCUAAAUUUGAUCAAAAGAACUUCAAUUUAAAUUACCAUAACUACAUAAAGUUGUGACUAGCAUAAUUAAACUCUUUUAUUAAUAGAUGUUCAUAGACUAGUAUUAUAAUCCCACACACACAGAUAAUCAAAUUUUGAAAUUAGACUUCAAAUAACUAUGCAAUAUACGAAACUACAAAAUGAAUGGUAGGUCAUAAUUAAUUAAAUUCGUACUAUAUUCAAUGUUGGUCAACACGUGUCAAGUAAAAGUUUUAGCCUAAGUGUAAGGGCUCACUUGCUCCUAUAUAGAUGUUAUUCACUUUGGGUCAAGGCCUACUUUAAAAUAUCUCUAUACAUUUAUGAGAAGUCUACUUUAAAAUAACCUAUUCUCCGGAAAUCUUUCUUCCCCUCUGUUACCUAAUCUCACAUCCUUGGAGUACAUCGAUCUCAGUUACAAUCAUUUUGAGGGUUCAUUCUCUUUCGGCUCUUUUGCUAAUCACUCCAACUUUCAAGUGGUCAAACUUGGAAGGAAUAACAACAAAUUUGAGGUAGAAACUGAAUAUCCAGUUGGUUGGGUUCCCCUAUUUCAGUUGAAAGCUCUUAUGCUAUCCAACUGUAAGCUCAUCGGUGACCUUCCUGGUUUUCUUCGACACCAAUUAAGAUUAACCGUGGUUGAUCUCUCCCAUAAUAACUUGAUUGGAAGUUUCCCCAUUUGGCUACUUGAAAACAAUACAAGACUAGGAUCUCUAGUUCUGAGGAAUAACUCUUUAAUGGGUCAACUACUUCCCCUGAGACCUAAUAGUCGUAUCACUUUAUUGGAUAUCUCAGACAACCGACUUGAUGGGGAACUUCAACAAAAUGUGGCCAAUAUGAUUCCAAAUAUUGAGUUUCUAAAUUUAUCCAGCAAUCCUCCCCUUCAUUUCAUCCAUAUUUGGAUCUACCUUUAAAUCUCUAUUGCAUACAACCCAUAUAUGAUUCCCUCUAAAUUUAGCCUUCAUUUCUUGUUAAGAGGUUUUAAAAGCCAGCAAUUUAAUUUACUUUCAUCCUCUAGAUAGAUGAGAACUCUUAUAUUUAUCCAAUGAUAGGUAACAUUUUUGCAAAUUCUUUUAUUUGAUUUUUUUAAUUGGUCUUAAAAAUAAGUGUUAAUAAAGAUCCACAAUAUAAAAUAAUAAAUUAUAUCUCAAUUGACCUCAAGAUACUAUUUACUUCUACUAACUCAUUUUACAUCUCAAUUGUUCUUAAAAAGUCUAUAAUGGUAAUUAACUAUAGAAUUCAAGUUUUAAUUAUGCAAAAAAUAUAUAAAGGUUUUUAAAAUUAAUAGAAAAAGAGAUUCUGAUAAAUAAUAAGUAGAUCGAAACAUUUACUUCUAGAAGUAGAGAAAGAUGGAGGAUCAUAAAAGUUGAAAAAAGAAUAAUUUGGAAGUCAUAAAAUUUUGGAAAAAGAAUAAUACAUAGAGACCUCAUUAACAACAAGUAACAACUAAUUGUAAGUAACCAUGAAAAAAGUAAGGAGAAAAAUAAAGGAAAAUCAAGGAAAGUGGCAAAUUUUUUCAUCCCCAUAAAAAAUGCUAAGGAAGAAAAAGGUGAAGAAAGUUUAAAGAAAGUAUAUUUUUCAAAAAUUGAAUUUUCUUUCCCUUAAAGUUGGUAUGGACAACCAAACAAGAAAAUGAUUUUUAAAUUCUUUUUUGACCUUUUUCUAUCAUUUUUUUUUUCCUUACUCUAUUUCCUUUCCCUCAAACUUUCUAGGUAGUAAACAUUACCUAAGAUAAAUAAGGAAGAAAAUAUUUUAUCAUUUAUUUAUUUAGUAUUUUUCUUACCUUUUUUUGUAUUUUAUCCAAAUAUAAGAAAACUAUUUUUCUUUAUUUUUUUUAUUUUCCUUGUUGCUUUUCAAGAAUCAAGCAUACUUUAAACUCUAAUUAAGAGUUUUAUCUCUAGACUAUAAUACUAAAUCACUUAAAAAAAACUCCUAACAUCGUUUAUGUUCAUCUUUCUUUUUAAGGAUUUGAAAAACCCAAUAAUUUGGAGAAAACUGAUUCUAGGAAGAAUAAUUUUUAGAAUAAAAGAUUAUUAUUUAAGAAGAUCAUAAAUAUUAUAGUCAUUGUUGAAUAUGAUAAAUGAUUAAAAAAAAAAGGUAGUUGGAAAUUUAGAUACUUUUAUAAGACAAAUGCAUUUUUCUAGUAUGGUAUGAAAAAAGGUAAAAUGAUAGGCUUUGAUCAUUUUUUAAGGUAGUUUGUUUAAAUCAUUUUAAUUUAUUUUGAUUUAAGAACAAUAACUUUUAUUACACUGGUUAUUUUGAUUUUCUUUUGAUAGAUUUUGCAAGCUUAAGCAAUUUGGAGGUAUUGGAUUUGAGUGAUAAUUCAUUUAGUGGGAUCCUUCCAUCGUCUAUAAGAUUGUUGUCUUCUCUCAAGUCUUUAUAUCUGGCUGGAAAUCACCUCAAUGGUUCCUUACCAAAUCAAGGUACAUAUAUUGUGAUUACAGGCUUUUUUGUUUUCUUUUUUAAUAUCUUGUUUGUUCUUUAUGCCAAUUAAGUCAUACAUGUCUAUUAAUUUUUGGUAUGCAAUGAAAAACUUUAUUUUUAAUUCAUAAAGACCUCAUCAAUCGUAAGUAACAACUAAUUGUAAGUUUGGGGGCAUUGACAAGACGAGGAGAUGAUUGGUUACAUGUCUUAUCCUCUUUUGUAGGCUUCUGCCAAUUCAAUAAGUUUCAAGAGUUAGAUCUUUCUUACAACUUAUUCCAAGGGAUCCUUCCUCCAUGUUUGAAUAAUUUCACAUCUCUGAGGUUAUUGGAUCUCUCUUCCAACCUAUUCUCCGGAAAUCUUUCUUCCCCUUUGUUACCUAAUCUCACAUCCCUGGAGUACAUCGAUCUCAGUUACAAUCAGUUUGAGGGUUCAUUCUCUUUCAGCUCUUUUGCUAAUUACUCCAAGCUUCAAGUGGUCAUACUUGGAAGGGAUAACAACAAAUUUGAGGUACAAACUGAAUAUCCAGUUGGUUGGGUUCCCCUGUUUCUAUUGAAAGCUCUUGUCCUAUCCAACUGUAAGCUCAUCGGUGAUCCUGGUUUCCUUCGACACCAAUUAAGAUUAACCGUGGUUGAUCUCUCCCAUAAUAAUUAGACUGGAAGUUUCCCCAUUUGGCUGCUUGAUAACAAUACAAGACUAGGAUCUCUAGUUCUGAGGAAUAACUCUUUAAUGGGUCAACUACUUCCCCUGAGACCUAAUAGUCGUAUCACUUUAUUGGAUAUCUCAGACAACCGAGUUCAUGGGGAACUUCAACAAAAUGUGGCCAACAUGAUUCCAAAUAUUAAGUUUCUAAAUUUAUCCAACAAUGGUUUUGAAGGUAUUCUCCCAUCCUCAAUAGCCGAAAUGAGUUCCUUACCGUCAUUAGAUUUGUCUGCUAAUAGUUUCUCAGCGGAAGUACCAAAACAAUCGCUUGCGGCAAAAUAUUUGUGGCUUCUGAAAUUAUCAAAUUAUAAAUUUCAUGGUGAAAUAUUUUCAAGGGACUUUAACUUGACUCAGUUAGGGUUUUUGCAUUUGGACAAUAAUCAGUUCAGGGGAGCACUGUCAAAUGUAAUCUCCAGAAUCUCUAGGUUGUGGGUGUUGGAUGUGAGCAACAACAUGUCAGGUGAAAUUCCAAGCUGGAUAGGUAACAUGACCGAUUUGACUACAUUGGUGUUGGACAACAAUAGUUUUAAAGACAAAUUACCACUUGAGAUUUCUCAAUUGUCGGGGAUGAUAUUUCUUGACGUUUCUCAAAACGCUCAAGAGCAUGGAGUAUUUAGAGCAUCUACAUUUGCAAAGGAACAUGUUUACAAGAUUGAUACCCAGAGAUUUUCUCAAUUCCUCAUAUCUAUUGACUUCGGAUAUCAGAGACAACAGGUUAUUUGGAAGUAUUUCCAAUUCAAUCUCUAGACUUUUAGAGCUAAGAGGAAACCUUUUAAGUGGUUUCAUUCCAUAUCGGCUUUGUCAUUUGACUAAAAUAAGCUUCAUGGAUCUUUCAAACAACAAUUUUUCUGGGUCAAUUCCCGGAUGCUUUGGUCAUAUCGGAUUUGGAGAUUUCAAAACUGAGCACAAUGUGUAUAUACCGAUGUUGGAUUCAUAUUCAGAAAGCAAUCCUUCUAUAUAUACGGGUUACUUAAUAAAAUAUUUAUUUUUCUCUAGUGAACUCCCUGAUGAAGUAGAUGAAGUUGAGUUUGUUACCAAGAAUAGGUAUAGCUCCUACAGAGUAGAUAAAAAUAUUUGUUGGGAAUUUAGAUAUUUUUAUAGGACAAUAUACAAGUAUUCUAAUUUAUAAAAACAAUGCAUUUCUUUAGUUUGGUAUAAAAAAAAUGAAACGAUAGGUAUUGGUAAUUUUUUUUGAAGUAACAAACGUUUUAUUUUAUUUGUAUUUAAGAACAAUGUUUUUUCUUAUACUAGUUAUUUUAAUUUUCUUUUGACAGAUUUUGCAAGCUUAAGCAAUUUGGAAAUGCUAGAUUUGAGUUAUAAUUCCUUAAGUGGGAUUAUUCCAUUAUCUAUAAGAUUGAUGCCUCAUCUCAAGUCUUUAUCACUGGCCGGAAAUCACCUCAAUGGUUCUUUACAAAAUCAAGGUACAUAUGUUAUGAUUUGUUUGUUUCAUAUAGAUUAGAGAAGAUAAAUAUUGUAAAAAAAAAAAAAGUUGUAGUUAAUGUAAGCUUGAAAUAAGUAUCUUGCCUUAUAAAUUAUAUAAGCAUGUGUUUGUUCUUAAUGAAUCUUUACAACAUUUAGAGUUACCAAUGCUUCUAAUUCAUAAAGACCUCAUUAAGAGUGAGUAACAACUAAUUGUAAGUAAUUGUGGAAAAAGUUAAGGAAAACAAAAUGAGGGAAAAGCAAGUAAUUAGGAAAUUAUUUUGUUCCCAUUAAAAAAUGCUAAGGAAGAAAAAGGUAAAAGAAAGUUAAAAAAAAGUAUAUUUUUCAAAAAUUUAUUUCUCUUUCCUUUAAUUUUGCUAUGGACAACCAAACAAGAAAAUUAUUUUAUAAUUCCUUUUUUAUUUUUUUCAUUCUCUCUCUCUUUUUUUCCCUACUCUAUUUCUUUUCCCUCGAACUUUCUUGGUAGUAAACACAACCUAAUAUAAAUGGGGAAGAAAAUUUUCAGUUUUUUAUUUUUUUUUUUAAUUUUUUUAGAAUGUUUUCUUACUUUUUUGUAUUUUAUGCAAAUAUAGGAAAAUUAUUUUUUUUUUUCUUGCUCCUUUUCAAACAUGAAUCACACUUUAAAAGAAAAUUAAUUUUUAAUUAGGAGUUAAGAUAAAUUUAAGGAGAAACAAUGAAUCACGAAAAACAAAAAAUUAAGGAAAUUGAAUUUUUGGAAGGAAGUAUAAUCAAAUUGCUUCAUUUGAUACAAAAUUUGAAUAAAAAUUCUUUCAAUGAAAAUUCAAGGAAAGGAAAAAACAUUUUUGUCUCUAGAUUAUAAUACUAAAUCAUGUAAAAAAUCUCUUAAUAUCAUUUAUAUUCAUAUUUCUUUUUGUAGAUUUGAAAAUUUCAACAAUUUGGAAUAAACUUAUUCAAUGAAGAAUAAUUUUUAGAUUUAAAGAUUAUUAUUUAAGAUCAUAAAUAUUACCAUCAUUGUUGAUGUCUAAGAAGAUCAUAUUCAACAAUUUUUUUAAUAUGUUGUUUUUUAUGGUAAUUAAUUGAUGUCUUGUAAUUUUUAAUAUUUAAUGAAAAACAUUAUUUUAAUUCAUCUAGAGCUCUUAAUUCAUGAAGACCUCAUUAAUGGUGAGUAAUAGCUGGCUGUAAGUUUGGAGUCAAAGACAUGUCAAGGAGAUGAUUAGUUACAUGUCUUAUUCUCUUUUGUAGGUUUCUGCCAAUUGAAUAAGCUUCAAGAGUUAGAUCUUUCUUACAACUUAUUCCAAGGGAUCCUUCCUCCAUGUUUGAAUAAUUUCACAUCUCUGAGGUUAUUGGAUCUCUCUGCCAACCUAUUCUCCGGAAAUCUUUCUUCCCCUUUAUUACCUAAUCUCACAUCCCUGGAGUACAUCGAUCUCAGUUACAAUCAGUUUGAGGGUUCAUUCUCUUUCAGCUCUUUUGCUAAUCACUCCAAGCUUCAAGUGGUCAUACUUGGAAGUGAUAACAACAAAUUUGAGGUAGAAACUGAAUAUCCAGUUGGUUGGGUUCCCCUGUUUCAGUUGAAGGUUCUCUCUCUAUCCAGCUGUAAGCUCACCGGUGACCUUCCUGGUUUUCUUCAAUACCAAUUCAGGUUAGUGAGGGUUGAUCUCUCCCAUAAUAACUUGACAGGAAGUUUCCCCAAUUGGCUGCUUGCAAACAAUACGAGACUAGAAUUUCUAGUCCUGAGGAAUAACUCUUUAAUGGGUCAACUACUUCCCCUGAGACCUACUACCCGUAUCAGUUCAUUAGAUAUCUCACACAAUCAGUUGGAUGGACAACUUCAAGAAAAUGUGGCCCAUAUGAUUCCACAUAUUAUGUCUCUAAAUUUGUCCAACAAUGGUUUUGAAGGUAUUCUCCCAUCCUCGAUAGCUGAAAUGAUUUCCUUAAGGGUGUUGGAUUUGUCUGCCAAUAAUUUCUCAGGAGAAGUACCAAAGCAGUUGCUUGCAACAAAACGUUUGGAGAUUCUAAAAUUAUCAAAUAAUAAAUUUCAUGGUGAAAUAUUUUCGAGGGACUUUAACUUGACUUGGGUGGAAGUUUUGUGUUUGGGCAAUAAUCAGUUCACGGGAACUCUGUCAAAUGUAAUCUCCAAAAACUCUUGGUUAUCGGUGUUGGAUGUGAGCAACAACUACAUGUCAGGUGAAAUUCCAAGCCAGAUAGGUAACAUGACCGAUUUGACUACACUGGUGUUGGGCAACAAUAGUUUUAAAGGCAAAUUACCACCUGAGAUUUCUCAAUUGCAGGGGUUAGAGUUUCUUGACGUUUCUCAAAACGCUCUUUCGGGAUCUCUUCCUUCUUUGAAGAACUUGCUGAAUUUAAAGCAUCUACAUUUGCAAGGGAACAUGUUUACAAGAUUAAUACCCAGAGAUUUUCUCAAUUCCUCAAAUCUAUUGACUUUGGAUAUUAGAGAAAACAGGUUAUUUGGAAGUAUUCCCAAUUCAAUCUCUGCACUUUUGAAGCUAAGGAUUCUUUUGCUGGGAGGAAACCUUUUAAGUGGUUUUAUUCCAAAUCAUCUUUGUCAUUUGACUGAAAUAAGCUUGAUGGAUCUUUCAAACAACUCUUUUUCAGGGCCAAUUCCUAGAUGCUUUGGCCAUAUCCGAUUUGGGGAGAUGAAAAAGGAGGACAACGUGUUUGGACAGUUCAUUGAAUCUUGGUAUGAAAUGAAUCCUCAUCUUGUAUAUGCAGGUUACUUGGUGAAACAUUGGGGGUUCUCAAGUCCAAUAUAUAAAGAAACUGAUGAAGUUGAGUUUGUCACCAAGAACAGGCGUGACUCCUACAAAGGUGGCAUCCUUGAAUUCAUGUCUGGAUUGGAUUUAUCAUGUAACAACUUGACAGGCGAAAUACCUCACGAACUUGGAAUGCUAAGUUCGAUUCAUGCAUUGAACUUGUCUCACAAUCAAUUGAAUGGCUCCAUUCCAAAGAGUUUCUCCAAUCUUUCUCAAAUAGAGAGCUUAGACCUUUCUUAUAAUAAACUGGGUGGAGAAAUUCCUCUAGAGCUAGUUGAACUCAAUUUUUUAGAGGUGUUUAGUGUCGCUUACAACAACAUCUCUGGUAGAGUUCCAAACACCAAAGCACAAUUUGGGACAUUUGAUGAAAGCAACUAUGAAGGUAAUCCUUUCCUUUGUGGGGAACUAUUAAAGAGGAAAUGCAACACAAGUAUUGAGUCACCAUGCGCACCAUCACAAUCUUUUAAAAGUGAGGCCAAAUGGUAUGAUAUCAAUCAUGUUGUUUUCUUUGCAAGUUUUACUACUUCAUAUAUCAUGAUCUUGUUAGGAUUUGUUACCAUGCUUUACAUCAAUCCUUAUUGGCGUCAUAGAUGGUUCAAUUUUAUCGAGGAAUGUAUAUAUUCCUACUAUUAUUUUGCUUCUGAUAGUCUUUCCAAGUUAUCAACAUAUUUGUAUAAUUAGAUGCUUUUAGUUGGAUGAUGUUUGCAUAAUUAACUACUAUUUGUUUCCAGAGGAUAGAAAGAAAUGGGAUGUAUAAUUGCUAUGAGUUGAAACUUAUGUACUUUGCUCAAAUUUCGGCAUCCUUUGCUUUUAUUUUCAAGUUUUGUUAUUUUUUAUUUAUUGUUUAUUUCAAGAUUUAACCAUAUUAUGUUACUCUUAUAAAGACAAAUUCAAAUUUUUAGGAACUUUUAGCAUUAAAAGAAUUUCACAUUCAGAUUUUAGAAAAUAAAGAAGAAAGAAAAUAAUAAAUAAUUGGAAAAACAAUUCAACAAAAUAUUAAAUUAUCAUUUUAAAAUUGUUUGGCAUAGUAUGGGAAUUCUAAAAUAAUUUUUCAAUUUGUUAGAAGCAUUUAUUUAUUUAUUGUAACAAUGAUUGAAAUAUCAAUCACAAAGUAAUGUUUUCUUUUCUUUUUAAGGGCAAUAACACUUUUUCUUUUAUUGUAAUAAUUGAUAAAUGUAUUACACAAUUAUUUGUUUUAAAAAAAAGUUAGGGAUGACACAAUUAAUAAUUGAGGGUAAGUUAGGAAUAUUAAUUAUUUUCACUAGGUAGAUAUUUUGAAGGUUAUUUUUUCCGAAACACAUAUUCUUUGAAAAUAAAAAAUAAAAGUUUUAAAAAAAUAUAAUUUUUUUUAAAUGACGCAUGAUUACAUCAUUCCCCCUAGAUUAUUUGUUCAUUUAAACUUUUGUUUAAAUAAAAUUAGUUUUAAUUAUUUUCUUUUUGGAAUUAUAUUUAACAUUUAUUUAAAAAAAUAAAAAAACAUAGAUAUAAUAUUGUUAAUGAGUUUUCUUUUUAAUAUUUUGUAAAAUAAUUAAAUUUAAAAAUAUUUAAAUUUAAUUAUGGGCUGCCCAUUUCAAAAUAAUAAGAAUCUCAUAAUCUAAUUUUUCCAAAUUCCAGGUUAAUAUGCUAAUCUAAAAAGAAAAUAAUAAGAAUCUCAUAACCUAAUUUUUAUGUGCUGAUUGGGUUUUUUUCCUUUAAUUAAAAAAAAAAAAAAGGAAAAAAACAGAAGUGUGCGAUCCUCUUUCUCGAGUCUUCACAUUUUGAGACACUGAACCCAAAUCAAAAUUAAUCCUCCAAAUUAAUUUUCACCUCCAACCCAAGCCCUAACUGCUGCCCCCGUUUUCGUUUUCUUCUUUCCGAAAACCCUCUGGAAUCGGAAGAUUCAUAAUUCUUCAGAAUUAAUUUUCACCUCGAAGCCAAACCCUAAGUGCCUCAUCUUCCUCUCAUUCAUAUCCCAAAAGUAGCUUCAACAGUCAGGCCUGUAGCCAUGAAAGCCGUAGUGAUCACUACUUCCGGUGAUCCCCAAGUUCUCCAAGUGCAAGAAGUCGAAAACCCUGA
rnacentral:lncRNA from 1 species